rnacentral:lncRNA from 1 species
UUUUUUUUUUUUUUUGUUAUAGUCAGGAGCUUUCACUCUACCCCUUAAGGUAGCCUUCUUCUCAUGGUAGAUUAUCCUCUACAUACUGGUGGUACAUAGGCCCAAAUUACUCAAGGAUAGCUUCACUCUUAAGGGUUAUAGGUAGCUAUUUCUGACUAUGGUGCCUGUGUAUACUACACUAUAUUGUGGAGAUAAGAAUCAAGACAAACAGUCAUUUACUCAAUCUAAAAUUCUCAACUCAGGCUGCGUCAAUCUCAAAUUCUAAGUCAAAAUUAUGAAAGAAUUGAUAUUAGUGCUCAUGGUUUAAAGAAUCUCAAUUAAGAGGAAAUCAACACAAGAAUCAAGUAUAAACUAAGGUAAUAUUCAACCCUUUCUAAGAACCAUAUUCAUUGUCAAUCAAAUUCUUAUCACUGGCUAAUAUUCAAAACAAUGUUUUUUUUUUUUUUAAAAAAAAAAAAAAAGAAAAAGAUGAAGUAACAAAAACUAAGUUCGAAAUCCACCCCCCACACUUAAUUCUUACAUUGUCCUCAAUGUAAGCCUAAGCUAACAAAAGACAGAAUUAAACAUGGGAAAAUGAGAUGAGACACACAAACAUAAACAAACAAAAUUCAACACAAAGUAGGUAAAGUAAAUGAGAAUGAGAGGGAGAAAAAUCAAAUCUGUUAUGGCGUGCUCUCAAAAUCUUUUCUCCAGCCAUUGGGUUGCCUCCCAAUAAGCGCUUGGUUUAUUGUCCUCAGCCUGACCUGGUUCUCAAGUUUCACUCAUCAACGUACGCAGGUUCAUGAAGUGGAGCCUCCUCUACAUUGAGUGUUUGAAAAUUUUCAUAGUAAGGCUUCAACCUAUGACCAUUAACUUUGAACUCUUUACCUGUCUUUAAGCUCUUGAUCUCAACUGCACCAUGAGGAAAAAUAUUAAUAACAACAAAAGGCCCAACCCAUCGAGAACGUAACUUACCUGGAAACAACUUAAGGCGAGAAUGGAAUAGCAGAACUUUCUGUCCAACUUCAAAAUUCUUUCUCAAGAUCUGCUUGUCAUGAAAAACCUUAGUCUUUUCCUUAUAGAUUCGUGAACUUUCAUAGGCAUCAUUUCGAAUUUCCUCUAAUUCUUGCAAUUGGAGCUUUCUGUGUUGGCCGGCGGCGUCCAGUUCCAUGUUACAUUGUUUCACAGCCCACCAUGCUUUAUGUUCAAGUUCCACUGGAAGAUGACAAGGCUUACCAUAUACCAACCUGUAGGGUGACAUACCAAUAGGAGUUUUGUAUGCGGUCCUAUAUGCCCAAAGUGCAUCAUCAAGCCGUAAGCUCCAGUCCUUUCUAUUUGGAUUAACUGUCUUUUCAAGGAUUGAUUUCACUUCCCUAUUAGACACCUCAACUUGCCCACUAGUUUGUGGAUGGUAGGAUGUAGACACCUUGUGAGUGAUGUUGUAUUUUCGAAAGAGGGCUUCUACUGACCUGUUACAAAAGUGAGUGCCUCUGUCGCUGAUAAUUGCCUUUGGUGUUCCAAACCUUGUAAAGAUGUUACUCUUUAUAAAAUCUACCAUAACCUUAGAAUCGUUAGUUCGGGUGGCUUUUGCUUCCACCCAUUUUGAAACAUAAUCAACCGUAAGAACAAUAUAGAGAUUACCAAAUGAUGAAGGAAAUGGUCCCAUGAAGUCGAUGCCCCAAACAUCAAAAAUCUCAACUAUAAGAAUGGGAGAUUGUGGCAUUUGAUUUCUAGGUCCCAAAUUACCUGUUCUCUGACAACGAUCACAAGAUUUGCAAAACAAAUAUGCGUCUUUAAAUAGUGAUGGCCAAUAAAAACCACUCGCAAGUACCUUAAGGGCUGUUCUCUUUGGUCCAAAAUGUCCUCCACAAGCCAAAGUAUGACAAAAGGUGAGAAUAGAAGUAAAUUCAGUUUCGGGUACGCACCUUCUAAUAACUUGAUCAGAACAAUGCUUCCACAAGUAUGGCUCAUCCCACACAUAAUACUUGGCAUCACUCUUGAUCUUGGCCUUUUGAGCACGGGUUAUCUCUUUCGGUACUGUCCUGGUAACCAAAUAAUUAACAAUAUCUGCAUACCAAGGAGUAACUAUACCUACAUGUAAUAACUGCUCAUCUGGAAAGUUCUCAUGCAAUGGAAGUUCAUCUUCGUUAUGAAUAAGUCGACUCAAAUGAUCUGCCACCAAAUUCUCAGAACCUUUCUUAUCUAGAAUCUCUAUGUCAAAUUCUUGCAAUAGAAGUAUCCAUCGUAUAAGGCGCGGUUUGGCAUCCUUUUUGGUGAGCAAGUACCUAAUAGCUGCAUGGUCAAAGUAAACGAUUACCUUAGAUCCAAUUAAAUAUGAACGAAAUUUCUCUAAGGCAAAGAUAACUGCUAAAAGUUCUUUCUCUGUGGUGGAGUAGUUAAGUUGUGCAUCAUUCAAUGUACGAGAGGCAUAAUAGAUGACAUGAGGAAGCUUGCCCACACGCUGGCCCAACACGGCUCCAACAGCAUAGUCACUGGCAUCGCACAUAAUCUCAAAUGGUAAAUCCCAAUUUGGUGGUUGAAUCACAGGGGCCGAUGUCAAAACCUCUUUUAACUUCUUAAAAGCUCUUUGGCACUCUUCAUUGAAGUCAAACGUUGCAUCCUUUUGAAGUAAGUUGCAGAGAGGUAAAGCUAUCUUGGAGAAGUCCUUGAUAAACCUGCGAUAGAAACCUGCAUGACCAAGAAAAGAACGAACCUCCCUCACACUAGUGGGAGGUGGUAAGGAGCGUAUAAUAUCUAUCUUAGAUUUAUCAACUUCAAUCCCCUUUUCAGAAAUAACAUGGCCUAGUACAAUACCUUGAUUAACCAUAAAAUGACAUUUUUCCCAAUUAAGCACAAGGUUAGUGUCAAUGCAUCGUUUAAGAACAAGUGUAAGGUUAUCUAAACAUUUAUCGAAAGAAUCACCAUAAACUGUAAAAUCAUCCAUAAAUACCUCAAUGAUGUUCUCCACAUAAUCAGAAAAAAUACUCAUCAUACACCUUUGGAAAGUGGCAGGAGCGUUACAGAGACCAAACGGCAUGCGUCGGUAAGCAAAUGUUCCGAAGGGGCAUGUGAAUGUCGUUUUCUCUUGGUCUUCCGGAGCGAUAACGAUCUGAUUAUAACCUGAAUAACCAUCAAGAAAACAAUAAUGAGAGUGACCACUUAACCUUUCAAGCAUUUGAUCAAUGAAUGGCAGAGGAAAAUGAUCCUUGCGAGUGGCUGCAUUCAGUUUACGAUAGUCAAUGCAAACUCUCCACCCAGUUUGAACUCUAGUUGGCACAAGCUCGUUUUCCUCAUUCUUGACCACUGUGAUGCCUGAUUUGUUUGGAACUACCUGCACAGGACUCACCCAUUUACUAUCAGAAAUGGGAUAAAUAAUCCCCACAUUAAGGAGUUUCAGUAUCUCCUUUUUUACGACUUCCAUCAUUGGUGGAUUAAGGCGGCGUUGUGCAUCUCUCGUUGGUUUAGACCCUUCCUCUAGCAAAAUGCGAUGCAUGCACAUGGAAGGACUAAUUCAUUUAAUGUCGGCAAUGGUCCAGCCAAUCGCCGUCUUGUGAUCCCGAAGCACCCUAAUUAACUUUUCUUGUUGAACUGGGGUGAGGGUUUUAGCAAUUAUGACUGGAAGUGUUUCAUUCUCACCCAAGUAAAUAUAUUGCAGGUGUUCUGGAAGUGGUUUAAGUUCUAAGGUAGGUGCCUGCACAAUUGAAGGUAAAAGUUUCUCGUUUAAUAAAGGCAAUUCAAGGUAAGAAACAUUAUACCCAUGGGUGCGUAAUGUGAUUGCUCCAUCUAAGAUCGCCAUAGCUUCCUCUACCUCAUCAUCCAACUUUAUCAAAUUUGCAUGUUCCUUAGAAUCGUCGUUUGUAAGAUUUUUGCUUAUGGCAAUUUCAAAACUGUCAUUACCGGAUAAUUCAAAGAAAUCCUGCACCAAAGUAUUAAUAUCAUCUAUGGCAAAGACAGAAUGUACAUCACUAGGAUACCUCAUUGCCUCAAAGAUAUUGAAGCGGAUCACUUCACCAUCGAAUUCCAUUGUGAGGGUUCCAUCGUGAACAUCAAUCUUGGUUCGGGCUGUCUUAAGAAAUGGCCGUCCCAACAGAAUAGGAGUGGGAUUGGGCGACAACUCAUCCUCCAUUUCAAUGAUAUAAAAAUCAGCUGGAAAGACCAAUUCAUUUACCUGCACAAGAACAUCUUCCAUAACCCCCUUCGGGUAAGCAUUAGAUCUGUCAGCCAAUUGAAUAAUUAUACCAGUUUCUUCCAUUGGACCUAAAUUCAAGGAGUUAUAAAUCGAAUAUGGCAUAACAUUAAUUGAGGCCCCUAAAUCUAGCAUACAUCUUUCGAAUCUGGUAUUACCAAUAGUGCAGGGGAUAGUGAAAGUACCUGGAUCCUUGCACUUAGGCGGAAGUUUUCUUUGAAGUACAGCAGAAACAUUCUCUCCAACACUUACCUUUUCGUUACCGCUCAACUUUCGCUUGUUACUGCAUAAUUCCUUCAAAACUUUGCAUAACGCGGCACUUGUUUAAUAGCAUCAAGUAGAGGAAUAUUUACCUCUACUUUACGAAAGGUCUCAAGGAUCUCUUUUUCUUGCUCCUCUUUCUUGGAUUGUUUAAAUCUGCUAGGAAAUGGUGGAGGAAUAGAGAGAGUCUUAAUUCGAGGUGAGGGGAUACUUACCUGGCCAGAUGGAUCGACUGGCAAUGUUGAGUGGGAAUCAUCUUUCAAUGUUAAAGGAAGAGCCUCAUGGGAGGAAUUGGUCACAGAGGGCGAUGAUGUUGUGGAUGCUUUUGAUGGCUUAGCUAAUAAUGGUUCCAAUUGCUUCCCGCUCCUAAGAGACAUAGCACUAGCAUUCUCCUUUGGAUUAAUUUCUGGUUGAGAAGGUAACUUUCCUGAAGUUCUACCCUCUAUCCUACUCAUAGAUGUGGCUAGUUGGCCAAUUUGAUUCUCUAAAUGUUGGAGCUGUGUCUGGGUAGUCUGUUGGAAUUGCAUAGAGUUAGUAGCGAGAGCUUUUACAAGAUCUUCCAAAGACGUACCUUGAUUUUGAGGAGGUGGAGGUGGCCGAACUUGGUAAGGCUGCUGCACCCGGUGUUGGGGGUAGCCCGGUGGUCGAGACGGUGCCACAUUAGAAAUGCCUUGUUGUUGGUUCCCAUACCUAAAAUUAGGGUGAUCCUUCCACCCUUCAUUGUAAAAAUUAGAGUAGGGAUCAUACCUUUGUCUUGGUUGGCCUAGGAUCCCCUCAACUGCGUUGGCUUGCUCAUGUGAACCCUCUUGGAUAGCAGGGCACAUGUCAGUCGCAUGUCCGACCAUAGAACAUACGCCACACGGUCUCAUUUGUUGCCCUAGAGCUAAUUGUUGCACCAGAGAAGUAAGAUUUGAAACUUGUUUUUCUAGAGAAGUAGUACUUACCUCAUUGACUCGCUUAGGUGGCGGCAGUAGAUCGUUCCUAGUAUUGAACUGUUGGGAAUUAGCAGCCAUGUUAGCAAUGAGAUUUCGGGCUGCUUCUGGUGUCUUAUCCACGAGUGCUCCUCCACUAGCGGCAUCAAUCAUACUCCUAUCCAUAGGUAGUAGACCCUCAUAAAAGUAUUGAAUAAGAAGUUGAUCACUUAUCUGAUGGUGAGGGCAACUAGCACAUAGCUUUUUGAAUCGUUCCCAAUAGUCGUAGAGCGGCUCUCCAUUAUACUGUCGGAUUCCACAAAUUUCUUUUCGAAUGCUGCCAGCUUUUGAUGCUGGGAAAUAUUUCUCCAAAAAUAGCUGACGCAUCUCAUUCCAUGUAGUGACAGUACCGGAGGGAAGAUAGUACAACCAUUCCUUGGCUGAAUCCGCCAAAGAGAAUGGGAAGGCCAUUAGCUUAACUUGCUCUUCAGAAACUCCGGCUGGUUUCAUUGUGGAGCAGACCACAUGGAACUCCUUCAAGUGCUUAUUUGGAUCCUCUCCUGCAAGACCAUGAAAAGUAGGAAGAAGAUGAAUCAUCCCAGAUUUGAGUUCAAAGUUUACCUGAGGGUUUGGAUUCUCAAUGCAUAAGGGUUGCUGGUCCAAGUUAGGAGCUGCCAACUCUUUAAGUGUUCGGUUGUUAUUCUGAGCCAUUGGUUCGGGUUCUGGGCUGCUUGGUUCUGUUUUCGGGAGUGGAAUGUGAAUGGCAAAAUCGAGUUCUGAAUAUGAUGAGGUUGCUCUAAGUUGCUCGAGUUUCAAUCGAAUGUCUUCUAUGCUCAUGAAAAUCUAAAUAUAGAACAAAAAAUAACUAAUUAAAAUAAAAUAAAUAAAUAAAAUGAGAAAAGAAAUAAAAAAAAUAAAAAUAAAAAUAAAACGAGUGAUAAUAAACAAACUAGACGCUAGUCCCCGGCAACGGCGCCGAAAAUUUGGUAGUGUCGUUAAGGUGCACCAAAUUUAAAACCUUACCACUAAUAUAAAUAAUUAGUACAGAGUGAGUAAGGAUCGAUCCCACAAAGACUAUGUAGUUAUAUUUAUUAUCAACUCUAAAGCAAGAUUUAAAAUAAAAUAAUAGUAGUAAUAAUAAUAGUAAUAUUAAUAUAAAUUAAUCUAACUAAAGAAAAUGCCAAUUAAAAAUAAAAGGGGGGUUUAUGAAUUUUUAACUAAAUAGUAAGAAAUAAAGAAAUUAAAAUUACGAACAAGAAUUUAAUAAAAACUCUAAUUAAAGGAGAAAGAAAUAAUAAUGAUGAAAACUUUGGUUAAAGGAUCAUUCGCCACCACCAAACAUGCAUAUAAUAUAUCAAUUCUAUCAUCAAUUUAUAUUAAAACUAUCAACCGUAGACAACAAUAAGCUCUGUUAGUCUCAAUCUUUCCUUAGUGUGUCGUUAGGCAAAAUAAACUCUUCACCUAAUCUCUAACCAUUAAACAAUUUAAAACAAGCUCUUUAAAUUUAAGAUAAUGGAAGCAUUAAACAAAGAAAGAUAUUAGGUUGAUCUAGGCAAUAAACACACAAGCUCGGAUUAUUUAACCUAGGUUAUGUUCUCCAAUUGAAAUCAUUAAUUCCAACCUGCUACUAAUGAUUAAAAUAUCAAGACAAUUACGGAUCAAAAAUUUUAAUCUAGCAAUAAAAUUUAUUCAAGUCCUAUCUAAUUGGCCACUCAAAUAAAACAAGAAUAAACCAUGAACAUUAAUUAUAGAAGAACAUAAACAAUCUCAAUUAAAUAAAUUGAAUGAUAGAAUUUAAAUUUAAUUGCAUAGCAUGUUUAGGGUUUUGAAUUCACCCUCAACCAAAUAAAAAUUUAGCCUAACAUAAUUGAAUUGGGAAUAAGAAAAUUGAUAAAACCAGUCAUAAAAAUUAAUUCAAGCGGCUGCCUUUUUCUUCAAUUGAAUUCCGCCUGCUGAUUUUUUUCUUCUUCUUGCCGAAUUGGAUCAGCCCCUGCUCUCUCUCCUCUCUUGUUGCCCCAAAUUCUUCUUUUCUUUAUUACUUCCGCUUGAUCCUAUUUAUAAUGCUUCAAUUGUGGCUUUGUUUAAAUCCUUGCCUGGAGAGAAUUAAAUUCCAAGCUCAAAACCGCCACCUCAUGCUUCAAUUAAUAAGCCAAUAAUGAUUUCCUAAAGACAAAAGGCUUUAUUCUCUUUCCUUUCACGUGUCCACUUUUGGUUUGCAAUCUUUGUUUUCCAAUUUUGCUUUCAUGUGAUGGCUUGGCUUGUUAAUUGGCUUGGCUUCCUUUUUCUUCAAUUCCUUCAAGCAGAUCUCUUCUUAAAUGCUCUGAUUUAAUUUCUCUUUAAUUCCAAAAUAUACCUAAAAUAACAAAAUAAAUAAAACUAAGAUAAAAAUUAACACAAUAAAAUAUAAGUUACUAAAUUAAAAAUUAACUAAAAUAACUAGAAUAUUUAAGACCAAAACAAGAAAAAGAUAGAGAAAUUAAUAGCAAAAUAUAUGAAAAAUAUGCACUUAUCACUAUGAUGGGUAGAAUUAAAAAUACCUAAUGACAAUAGUAAAAAGUUAGCUAUAUAAGUGAUUAUGGUCCCCAGAUCACACGUAUAUUUUUAUUCUCUAUUGAUAUUUUAUCAUCAGAGAGAGAGAGCAGUGAGAAACUUAAAGGAUUCUCUAAGAAAACGUGUAGAUCUAGAAAACCAACCACACAAUUCUAGAGAGCAAUUCAGUGUUACAACAUGAAUAUUCUUGAAUUAUAGGUGAUGAUUUUCACCAAAGGUUUUCUUGCUCAAACAAAUAGUAUCAGAGAUUUUUCAUAUUGAAUCAUUGCAAAUCAAAUUUAUUUUGAUUAAUGAUUAAACCUUUGGUGUUCUCCAAUUUAAUAAUACUGGAAUUAUUAAUAUAAUUAAGUUUGAGAAUAAAUUAAGGAUGAAAUAUUUUUUUGGUGUUCUCAAAAAAUAUUUAAGAACAUUAUGCAUAAUUGCAGAGAAUUUUAAACCAAACAAAGCAGUUAGUUUAGAACAAUGGAGAGCAAACUAGCCAACAUGUGCCGGGUCAGUUCGACGAAGCACCUUGUAAAAAAUUUCUCAAUCCCAGCCAAAGCAACGUUGGUGAAAGCACCAGACUUAAAGCAUAACCUAUCGUCGAAGCAAAGACUAGGAAGUGCAGAACAAACGAGUUUCCAUCUUGAAGCGAGAAUGGCAGUAGCAACAGCAUAUUUUGAGGGUAGAUACGAAGGAAUAUGGCACAGGACAGAAUCAGGCACGAAAGAAUAUGGCAUAGGACAGAAUCACGCAAACUACUGAACCUUGAUUGCCUGCUCCUCCAAGUCUUUUGGAUUUCAUAACCAUCAAAUGUGAUUCAUUUCCUUUUCUCUUCCUCUAUUUUGUCAGCAAAAGAAGAACGCAAGAACAUAGCACAUUAUAUAUGCAGAGAAGCUAAAAAGAGAAAGAAAUGAACCUGAAUUAAUUAACCAAACAAGAUAAGCAUCAGACUCUCCCCCCAAAACUAGUACCUUCUAGAAGCAAGAAAUUUGCCAAACUUUGCGAUACAAGAAGAUGGAAUUCAAUUGUUUUAUUGCGACUGUACUCAGCACUCGUUGCUUUUUGGACAGUUUUAUCAGAGUCUACAAAAGAAAAAAGGCGGGUAAACGCAGCGUUUUGGAAACCCAACAGUUCCCAACCAGCAUAAGUUGGACGGCCUCCAUUUACUUUGGUCUUAAACCAAAUCACUUCUUACACAAAAGCCCGGCCCAAUGUCUAUGGUCAGUACAAUUUUUUUUAUUGGUUAAAAAAAAAUAAAAAAUCAUUUAUCACCAUAUCAUACGCACUAUUUUUUACUUCGGCUGAUGAGUAAUUAAAAUUCAGAUUUUAUUAAUGAAUAUUAAAAAGCUGGCGAUAGAUAGAAUCGAUCCAUAACUAUUUAAUAGUGAUCGUAAGUCGGUACUUUGUUAAAAAAAAAAUAUCAGUUCAAUAUGGUUUCAAUCAAAUUCGAGGUAUACAUAUGUAAAUCUCUUUGUUUAUUUUUUAGUGUGAUUCAUUGAAUGAUCAGAGUACUACGUUUAGGCUUAGCUUAUAAUUAUAAAAUUGCUGAUGAUCUCGAGUGAAUUUUAAGUAACAUUUCUUUGCUGAUCACCCAAAUUUAAAUUGUGUAGAAGUAAGGGGCUUAAAAAUCAAAUUGAAUUUUAUCCAUCCUUAUCUUUUGAAAUGAAAAAAAAAAAGUGAUGACUGUUGUAAAUCGUGGUGGAUUCCACCAAAUAAUGCUCUCUCAUUAUCUUCUUUAUUGUUCUCUCCAUUAUCCUUUUUAUAAUUAACAAUCCUAAAUGUUCCACCCACUAAUAAUUAUAUAUAUUACUCUUUCUUUAUUAAUGAAAACAUGCAAUUUUUCAUUUUUUCCUUAAAGUAUCUUGCUCUUAUUUCUUCAAUUUUCGUUUAUCUGUGAUUUAAGCAUCAUUUGUUCAAAUAUCACUUUUAAAUAAUUAUUUAUAUCCGAUUCCUUUAAAUUAUAACAUCUAUUCCCUCCAAUUCAUAACAAUGACUCGAUUUUGUGCAUCGUGAACAUUAUAGAUCAUUGGUUGGGCUUAAUGUAAUAUAUUUUCAACCCCUUUUUCACGUAUGUUAAGAGGAAAAGUUAAUGAACUCAUACAAAGAGAGCUGCAAAAUGUAAAUCCAACAAGUAACAUAAAAGGCCCCGUUAUAUAAAGUAUUCCUGCGACUGCUGUCUGUGUAGCAAUUCAGAAACUGAAUUGAACUUUGAUAUCAUGUACUCAUCGAAUCAUGGCCUCAGAAAAGUUAGUAUAUAUUCUAUACUUUCACCUCUUUCCGAAUGAAAAAACUGCGAAUAGAACUUGCAUGGCAACUCAACUUCCUUGACAAACAGAAGUUGUUAUACCAGUCCCAUCUAAAAAUUAUGUUAUUACUAGUGGAUACACAACAAAAUUAUAAAAUAAAAUAAGAUAAUUUAAAAGAAAAAGAAAAAAACGAAAGAAACAUGAAAAAUAACAUUAUAACAGGAGCGCCUCAGAACAUCAAGGAGAAGAUUUGAGAGAGAAGUUACAUGCACAGCACCUUCGGACGAGUGCAAGCAAGAACUUGACUUUUGUGACGCCUCUGAGAAACUGAGAAGCACUUGCGGGGCCGGGAUUUGUUUCUCUCCCACACAGGAAAGCUUAAAAUAAACUUCACUUAAUCCUCGAUAUCGAGAAGGGCCAAGAUUUGGAGCCCAAAUGACCAUAACUUUGUGGCCAAUAUAGUUCUCACCAUCUGUUUCCACUCCUAUGGUCAACCUCUUCAGAGUAAGGGAUGAAAUGUUCAACCUAAUUACUGAAUCCUUGCACGGUAUACAUGCCUUUAUUAACAGAUCUUUCAACACAGGGCCACUAGCAAAGAGCCUCUCAGCCAAGCUGCUUUUAGGAUCAACUAAUACAAUAUAAAGAAUCUUGCCACUUGGAAAACAAAUUCGAGAAAGAGGAAGCUUGAUAACGAAAUCCCAGUUGAGUGUUUUGGACGUGUAGAUUUGCUCUCAGGCAUCUCAACACGGAGCUUACACUCGAAACUAAGAGUGUCUUUGGAAUUAAGGUGUUUUAACUUUAAAGCUACAGCUGUUGUGGAAAAAAAAAACUAUAAUUAUGAAAUAAAAAUUAAUAAUAUGUAGUAAAUAUAAAUUUUACAUAAUAAUUUUGAUAAAAUUAUUAAAAAUAUAAAAAAAAUUUCAUUAUACAAGUGAAAAAUCACAUUAACAUAACUUUCAAGCUACAGCAGUUGGUGUUUACCAAACACUUUAGUGUUGUAGUUUCUAAGAGCUGCCCAACCUCAAUCUCAAACGCACCUUAAGUUCAAUCUCUUGGGCAUUAAGCAAAAUUGCAUAAGAAACCCAAUAUAUCAAAGGUUUGGAACAAUGAAGAGAAAACUUGGCAAUGUUUCAUGGGUAAGCAAAAAGAAGCACUCUGUUCACAAAAUCCUCAAAUCUAACCAACCUCCGUGUUAGUCAAAGCAUCAUCACAUCUCCUAGAAGCAGGAUUUAAUUUAUCGAAGCAAAGAAACUUCCAUCUUGAAGAUAUACUUUGUGGGAAGAAAUAAAAGAAUGUGGCCAAAGGAUUGAGUCGGGUAAACUACUGAUCCUAUCUUCAUUCUCAUCCACUUUAAUUAUUUUGGAUUUCCUACCCAUCAAAUGUAUGCAAUUCAUCCAUCAUGAAAGUUCCAAAGCAACCUGACAGAUAAAAAGAUGAUAUUAAAUCUCGAUCGAAAUGAAAAUAUGGAAUCUCCUGUUUCAUCCUCCAACACAAAUUUAUAGCUAACAGAAUCUAUGUUUCUUUUCUUUUAUUUUAUUUCCACUCGAUUUGUCAGCAAUCAAGCACAAGGAGAUAAUAAUAAUAAUGUAGAUAAAUAAAAUAAAAUAAAAUAAAAUGAAACUCAUCAUUGAAUGAAAUUAAUUUUAAAAAAAAUGUAAAAAAUGACAAGUCUAUUCUCUUUUUCUUUUCUUUUCUUUUUUUCAUUCUUUCAAUAGGUCGAUCCAAAUUAUGUAUGAGUAUUUUCAUUUUUUUUUUAUCAAUUUUAAUUUUUCAAAUCAAAUAUGUGAACUAUAUAAUAUAACAAGUAAUUUUAAAAUUAAAUGAUUAUUUAAUAUAAUCACUCAUCUACCUAUGAGUGACCUGCCGCCAUGUUAUCCAAAUUCGAAAUGACAAAUGUGCUCCAUGCCGUUUAAAAAAUAAAGUUUUUUAUACUAAUGCAACAUUGUUAGUAUAUUUUUCAAAAUGUCUGACAAAAUUGUUUGAAAGAUAAAAAUUGUGAUUAUAAUGAUUUCAUGUCAAUUUAUAUAAAUGAUAAUAAUGAUAGAAUCCUAACUUGAGUUCGGGUGCUAUUCGUCAUCAGUGUAUUAAUAAGAUUAAAUAAUUUUAUAAAAAUGGGAAGUAACAAAGUUCAAACUUAGAUAUAAUAAACAUGUGUUGUAUUAAAAAUUAGAAAAUACUAUUUGCUAGUGUUUAAGUUUUGUUCUGUUACAUGCUUUCUUUCUCAAAUAUAUAUGUUAUUUGAUGAAUUUUAUGGGAGGCAUAAUAAGAGGUGAAUACAUAUUGCAUUAAUGUUAAUCGCUGCUUAAAAUGAGAAACCGAUCUCUUUGCCUUGUGUUUGUGUGUGAUUCAUUUUGCUCAAUACUCUGUUUAGGAAGAGCCCCAUGGUUAAAGUUAAACAGAGAGCCCAACCUUUUGACAACAAAAUAUUACCCACGUUAAUACAAACUUCAAGGAGAAAACAAAAUACAAAUAUGUCCUAAAAUCAGCUUCAAAAAACAUAAAAUUUCCUGACAAAGAUCUCAAAGGAAUUGAACCUCACAAGUCGUGGAGCCUCUUUCAAACCUUAAUAAUUUCUGGCAAACCUUUUUCUUCCUAGCUGAGUUCAUGAAUACAAUCAUCAUCCUAUUCAAACCUUCACCAUUCUUCAACAGGUACUUGACUAGUUCCAAUUCAUCCUUCUGACCACCAAAUCCCAAAAUUUCAAUUCUCUUAACAUGUAACAACAAACAUUGGGCCGCACAGUGCGGUUCAAUCCACUUGAAAUUGAAAUUCUGCUUAAAAGGAAAACAAACAUCAGACGCAACCAAUUAAGUACAAUUAAUUUCUUUCAAAAUUUCAUAACGUACUAACCAUCUGAAGGACAAAAGCUUCUAAUUUAGGCAUGCUAAUAAGGUUGAAAUGACGGAAUUGCCAUCCAGAUUUUGCAAUCUCCACUUUCAAGGAUGUCAAAUUGGGAAAUGUAGGAAAUAAAUCUUCAGAAGUGCAGUUGAGGAGCUUUCAUGUUGAAAAAGACAACAAAUUAAUUCAAUAGAGUAGAAAUAGAACAAGCAGUUACUAAAUGUCCUUGAAAUUAGAGCCUACACUGUCAAAUCUCUUUUUUUUUUUUAUUUGGGGGGGGGGGAUGUCAAUCCUACAAGAUAUGCCUCAAAACUACUAAGAAAGAAGAUGAAAGAUGCAAAACAUGAAAUAAGCAUACCAUGAGCCUCAAAACAACAUGGAGGGGAUUGACAGAGAACUUACGUGAAUAGCACCAGCUGAAAAGGAGAGAAACUUGGUGUUGGUAAUACCAUGGAGAAGCUGUAACAGGUGGUCAGCUUGAGCAUCUAGGGAUUCAAGAUCCUCAAUAUCUUGCAAAAGAGAGUGCUCAUCAAUAUUAACAGAAGCUGUUGUUAAAGAAUGCAGUUCAUGCAGCACAUAGGAUGACAAGCUUUCAUCGUCGAUACAGAGAUACUCAAGAUUUGGUGCCCUAACAACUACUUGGUGCUCAUUCCAAGAGACCCACGGUAUCCAGUUUUUUAACGUUAACCUCCUUAGAGUAGCGGAUGAAAUGUUAAAGUUGGCCAGUGUUUCAUAACAUUCAUAAUCCAUAUCUGCCGCUACUGACAAAUCUUCCAGCAUGGGACAAUUACAAAAGAGUCUCUCACUCAGGUUCUUAUUAGUAGGGUAUAUUAAAACAUCAAGAAUUUUGACACUUGGAAAACAAAUUCCAGGGGGAGGUGCCUUGAUAAAAAAUCUCAAAUCCAGUUUGAGAUUUUCUAGUGUUUUUGAAGUGUAAAUGCUCUCAGGCAACUCAAUUCCCCCAAAAUUCAAAUUGUCAAGUUUUGGCCGACAGUCAUUAUAAAUUUUAAGUUCCAACUCACGGACAUUACGGCUUAUUGCAGAGGAAACCCAGAACUUCAACUGAGACAAAUUGUAGCGAGUAUUACUGCUAAGAGAAAACCCGUUAAUUGCAGAAUCAGAAAGAAGCAACGCCAUAUUUACAGACUUCUCAAAACUAUUCCAACUAUCAUCAGUCAUAAUCCGAGCCUUGUCAAAGCAAAGAUUGGGAAGUGAAGUCCAAACACACUUCCAUCUUGAAGAUAGAAUACAAGUUGCCACAGCAUAUUUGAAGGGUAGAAACGAGAGAAUGUUGCAGAGGAUUCCAUCAGGUAAACUACUGAUCCUAUCUUCUUUAUCUUGAUUCCCCGCUCUAAGUAAUUUGGAAUGUGAUUCUGAUUCAUUCAUAAUGAAAAUUCUCAAACAACCUGACAAAUAUAAAAUUAGUGUUAAAAUCAAAACUGAAACAAAGGGUUUUGAUGGGUUUAAUCUUUAUAACCUAAAAAUCGGUUCUUCAUAAAUUGCGAUUUGUUCGCUAAGUAACUCAUGAUGGAAACUACAACAGAGAAAGGACAAUGUGGGUUACUCUAUAUUACAUUAACUCGCCAUAACUAGCUAAUACGAUUUAUUAUCUUUUCUUUUCAUCAAUUUGUAAGUAACUAGGCACAAGAUUAAUAUAAUAGAUCAUAGGGUAGAGUUGAAAAGAGUAACGAACCUUGUUAAAAUAAAAAGAGACAAUCCGUUACUCCCAAUCAUAAGAAGCAGCGAAAGACGAGAGCUCUUACAGAAGAUUCAAAUUUCAACCCAAUUCCUCGUUUACUGCACUGGAGUGGGGGACUAGAGAAGAAAACGCAGCAGUAGCACCAGAAACGCACCGUUUUUAUUUUGCUUGCCAUUUGCCAAUGACAAAAUUUAAAAUAAAUAUAAAAAGCAUUUAUCCGAGCUUAUGGGAAUGCAUUUUUUUUUUAUACACUGAUAUAUUAUAAUUAAAAUUUUAAUUAUAUUUAUGAUCAAUAUUUUCUAUGAUAAUUUUGUUAUGACAAGUUUUACCCUCACAUAAUACUAAAAGAAUAUAUAUUCUACCCAAAUUAUGGGGAGUAUCAUUUAAUAAAAUAAAAUUAUUGAAUAAAAAUUAAAAAAUAUUUAUAUAUAAUCGGAAUUGCAGUGAGGGUGGGGCGCGGAAUACAAAAUCAAACCUCACCCCAUUAAGAAUUUGAAAAUUAUUUUUCCUCUAUUCUCCACCUCAUUCUCCAAAAAUAUAUUUAAAAUUUAUCACAUUUGGAAUGGGUAUAGAGGAUUUUACCAUCCCUAAAUUUUGAUCUCUGAGAAAUAAAAGAAAAGAUAGAUAAUUUGGACUUUUCUGUUUUAUUAUACUCACUGAAGAUAGCUAAUAAAUUUCUCUUCCUCUCAUUAAUCUUCGCAAAUUUCGCUUUCAUAUCAUAGGCAGCAAUAAAGCACAAGAAUAAGAAAAUUACUAAGAGAGAGAAAAGAAAAAGAACCUGAUCAGGCAAAUAAGCAAACACGAUACUUCCAAGCCAAAACCUCUGAGAAGCAAGAGACUAGAAGAUACACUUUGCUAACAAAUCUUUGGUUCAAUUGAACACAUCCAACCACAAAUGUACCAAAAUUUAUAUGAAAUAACAAUUACAAAUGGGAGGUUGGCUUGUUUGAAAGAACUUGUGUUUUUUUAAAUGGCGUCAACAAUUCGCACAAUAGCCCAGCCCAGAACAUGAUGAUUUUAAAAUAUUAAUGCCAAUAGUAAUAAUUAAAAUUUAAUAAAAAAAUUUAAAGUGAAGAUAAUAUUCAUUUACGUUGAACAUUUACUUCUAUACGGGAGACUGAGCCGCAAUAUUUUUCUGACUGCAAUUGAGACUUGAAGAAGAGAAUUGCAUGUAGAGAUGGUAACUGGAUCGCUCCAUAAUGGAUAUCUACAAUAUCCAUCUAAUUGAAUCGGAUAAUAUCCAUUCAAAAAUUUUUGGAUCUUAAAAUAGAUAUUUUAAAAUUAUAUCCAGGUGGAUAUGGAUAAUUAUUUUUACCCAAUAGAUAUCCGUUUAACCCAACAUAAAUUUAAAAAGUUUUAAUUUUAUAAAAUUAAAAAUAAAAAUAAAAAAUAUAAUAAACAAACAAUUGUAAAAAUAUUACAUUAACUAGUGAAAAAUUUAAAUUCCUCUUAUAUUAAAAAUUAAAAUUUUCAAAAUUAUCCUUUAAUUUUUUAACUUAUUUAAUACUAUUAAUAAUUAUUAUUUUAUUUUAUUAAUUUAAUAUUAUAAAUGGACCUCCACCGGAACCUCAUCGGACCACCGUCGGAUCUCGCCGGAAUUACCGCCGGACCUCGCCGGAAGGUCACCAGACCACCGUCAGCUUCGCCGAAAGGUCGCCGGACCUCCGCCGAAAUUCACUGGAAAGUUGUCGGACCACCGCCACCAACCACCGGACCGCCAUUUUAUUAUAUAUAUAUAUAUUACUAAUAUAAAUAGUUUAAUAGCCAAAUUUGAUAUUGAAAUUUUAACUAUUUUAUAUUAUUAUUUUUAUAUAAUAAAAAUAAAAUAUCCAUGGAUAUCCAUGAAUCUCCAUAACUAUAUGGAUAAAAUUCAUAUCCAUGUCCAAUAUUAAAUACUGGAUAUGGAUAUGGAUAUAUCCAUUAUGGAUAAUUAUGAAUUUGUGUUUGGAUGGAUAUUAUCCAUCCAUAAUUGGAUAUUUACCAUCCCUAAUUGCAUGUGUCCUUUUAAUAGAAACUUCACAAGCAGAUUGCCAAAAAAGGCAGUGCAUUUCUCAUUGCCUGUGUUAGCAAAAUCCCCAUUCAUUCCAUGGGAUUGGACCUUUCAAGUGCCCUGUUAGUCAAUCAACCCACUUGAUUCCUAAUUUGAAUCAAUCGUUUACCCUUGCAUGAAAUUGUUCCACAAUGUUUAUUCUAGUUUCCGGACAUCACAGUUUAUGUAAAUGAAUUGUUAAUGUAAAUUCAUAAAAGCCGGUUCACAAAUAAAGAAUAAGACAAUGUACUUGCAUCACAAAAUACACAAAGUAUCUCAUCCUGAAACCAUGUCAAGCAUAUUCUGCAAUUGAGUUAUCAACAAUGCUAAUAUGCAUAUUUACACACAUGAUGCAAAAACCACCACGAAACCCAAACUCGAGAUGUGAAAACUCUCAAAGGAAUUCAACUUUACAAGUCUUUGAGCCUCUUUCAAACAUUAAUAACUUCUGGAAAAGCUUUUUGCUACAAGCCCCUUUCAUGGAUCUAAUGAUCAUCUUGUCCAAAACUUCACUAUUUUUUAAUAAGUAUUUGACCAGUUCCAAUUCGUGUUUCAAACCUUCAAAUCCACAAAUUUCAAUUUUCUUGACAUGCAACAACAAACAAUUGGGCACACAUUGUGGCUCAGUCCAUCUAAGGUUGUCGCCCACAAUAAGGAAAUCAAUUUCCUGAUCAAAAGAAAAAUAUCAUAAACAACAAAUUAAGUGCCAUUUGGCUCGAAAGUCAUUCACAUACUCACCAUUGCUCCUAAGUUAGGUAAACUACUGAGGAUGAUAGGUAGCAGCCGAAAUCCAGAUUCUUCAAUAUCCACCUUCAGAUAGGUCAAAUAGGGAAAUGUAGGAAUGUAAUCCUCAAAAACACAGUCAAGGGCCUUACACGGGGAACAAGCCAAUCAUUGGAAAACAAUUAUGUAGAAAAAUAACUUGCAGUUAAUAAAUUUCCUAUCAAUUUGGUAGGAAAAAAAAAUCUACUACUAGAACAAAUGCAUGAGAAUUAUUAACGAAAAUAGGAAGAAAGAAACAUGUAGAAUAUAUAAUUUGCACAACAGAACAUUAAAAAUUACAAUGUGGUUUAAAAGAGAACUUACAGAAAUAAUACCAGCAGACAAGGAUAAAAACCUGGUGUUAGUGAUUCCUUUGAGAAGCUGUAGCAUACGAUCAGCUGGAAUAUUUGGUGGAUCAAAUUCUUGUAAGUCUUCCGCAAAAUAUUUAUCGAAUUCAAUAUCAAAAUGCACUUCAGUUAAGGAAUGUAGCUCAUGCACCAUAUAAGAAACCAAGGUAUCGUCGUAAAUACAGAGGUGUUCGAGAUUUGGAGCCCUAAUCAUAACUUGAUGCUUGGUAUUACUAAACAAAACUUUUUCUAAUGAUAAGGUUAGCCUCUUCAAAGUGAGGGAUGAAAUGUUAAGGUUAGUCACUGAAUGUUUAUCCUCCAAAUGAAUCUCUAUCAAUAAAUCUUCAAGCACAGGGCAAAUAGUAAAGAGCUUCUCAGUAAUGCAGGUUGAAUGAGGAUAAUACAUUUCAACAUGAAGACACUUAAGACUUGGAAAGCAUAUUCUAGUGGUAGGAAUCUUGAAAUCAAAAUCCAAUUUCAGUUUGAGCAUUUCAAGUGUUUUGCACGUGCAAAUAUUAUCAGGCAACUCAAUAAGGACAUCAACAUACACGUGACUAAGUUCAAUGUCACGAACAUUACGCUCUAUUGCGGAAGAAACCCAGGAUUUAAGAGGAGGCAAAUCAGUCAAAUAGAUAUUGGGUUCAGAACAAUGGACAGAAAACUUAUUAAUGUCCGCCGAAUGAAAAAGGAGCACCUUGUUUACAAAAUUCGCAAACCUAGUCAAAACAUCCUGAGUGGAUUCACCAGGACGUUUGUCCUUAAACCAUAAGCUGUCAUCAAAGCAAAGACAGGGAAGUGAAGUCCAGAGGUGCUUCCAUCUAGAAGAUAGAAUGCAAGUUUGCACAGCACAUUUUAUGGGUAAAAAUGAUAGAAUGUGGCAAAGGAUUUCAUCGGGCAAACUACUUAUCCUAUCCAUUUUUUCUUGAUUCAACACUUGAAGCCUUUCGGAUUUUCCACACUUGGGAAUGGAUUUUUUCAUCGCGGUGAUUCUCGACCAGCCUGAGAGGGAAACAACAAUAGAAACAAAACAAAAAUUUUAGGAUUUUGUUGGGCUUAAAUGGGUUUUCUUAAAAUUCUGUUUGUUUCCUGAGAAAACUUAAAAGAGAGUAAUUACUAAUUACAGUGGAUUAAUAUUCUACUUCACACCAAUUCAAUAGAGAGAGCAUUAGCUCAAAUUUUCUGAUCCUUUUUAUAUUUUAUUUUCCCUCUAAAUGUAGCAACCAAAGCACAAUAUACAAUAGAACAAGAGAGAGAAAUAAACCUGAUUAGGGAAACAAUAGAACCAUAGAGCUCCCACACCAAAUAAUUUGAGAGGCAACAAAUCGGCAAGCUUUGCUCCAGAGUUUAGGAUGUGCAAAGAAAGAGAACGCUGACAGUCUCUACUUGAACGCACCGGUUCAGUGUAAACAAGGAGCGGGAUGGGCCCAUUCAGUUGGCCCAUAAUUAAGCUAUGCCCAUAACAAGCCCGGCCCAAAUUCUGAUAAUAUCUUCAGAUAGGUGGAACAAUUAGUUAAAUUUCCAGCUAAAAUUUGUUAAUUUCUUCGUUCUUGUUUAAUUUUUUUUUAUAUGUCUACAACCACGUCUGCAAAUAAGCAAAUGACAUCACACUGUCCUCCUGGUGGUGCUUCUCAAACGAGUAAUGAAUACAAAUUCUGGGAAGUCAUUUCAAUUACAUAUUUCCAACCCUAAGCCAGAUUCUCUCAUGAUUUUGUACGUAACUGCUUGUGAUUUAAGUAUAUAAUUUUUCACACGCCGUGGCAAGACUGAUUCCGUAAGGCUUCCGUCUUCUAAGUCUCAAAUGCAAAAAAAGAUCUUGUUCUAUCAUUGAUUAGAGAUUUCUCAACGAAAAAAAAAAAAACUCAUAGGCGCCAAGUGUGAGGGAAUACUAGACGUUUUGGUACUUGCUUAUGCGGCCAGGAGAAAAGACCCUAUGGAGGUGGCCAAGACAUACCCCGAGACAAAUCCGAAGACAUCCUUCAGAAGCAAUACAUUUAUCAAAUUCAACAUGGAUUUGACCACACGUGCUUUUGUGUUCACCCUUCCAAGGAACAUGAAAAAAUAAUCUAGAUAUAUAUCUCGAUUAUUUUAUAUAUUUAAAUAAAAACAAAUAAAUAAAUCUAGACAAACCAAAACAUGUUUGACGAGAAUAAUAUUCUAAGACAAGCAAUUCAUUGAUUUUCAAACCGACCAGUUGAUUAUCUAUUAUUUGAUUGACUAAUAUUUCUGUUGGCACCAGUCCUACAUUUUGUCUCUGUAGAUCAAGGAGAAAGGGAGCUCGGUAGGAUGAGGAUUAUACCUUGAGAGAGGCAAGGAGGUAUUGAAUGCAGUCUACCCAAUGCUAGAUGCAGAGAUACAUAAUAGAUCUAUAUGAACAUCAUGGGUUGUCCCGCAAUGAAACCAAUUGUUGCUGAUGUUUGGGGUAUAGAAACAUAGCCACCAAAUAGUGAUGUUGUAAAGGUAAUAUGAAAUAUCGAGGAGAAAUUUGACCGGUCGCAUAUGCAAGCACGACCAAAGUCCUGCGAGUAGACCAGAAUCAAAUCGUUUAAUCCUGCGGUCUUGGUUAGUUCUUAGAUCGUUGAACUCCGCCUGGAAGUUAAACCAGAAUCAGGUCGUUUAAUCAUGCGGUCUUGGUUAGUUCUUAGAUUGUUGAACUCCGCCUAAAAGUUCGGUCGUUAACGUCUAAGCAUGACCGGGCGUUACAAUUGCAACUCAAAAGCUACACGGAAACAGAUACAUUAACUCAUAAUUUAAGUGGUGCAUUCAAUCAAAUAACAACUGUGCAUUAAAGAAGAUGCGAUCUUGGGCGCCUAUAAAAACCCUGGAAAAUCCAAAAGAGGGGGUUGUUUUGGCUGAUAAGAGGUCUGAUUAAAAAACAAAAAAAAAGAAAGAAAAAUAAGAUCACGAGUGUUGUGCCAUUAUUAUUUCCUUGUAAGAAAACUCCAUUGCUGACUUGAGUGUUAGAGGAUUUUCGUUGGAAAAAAUCCGACGCCCCCCGACAGUUUUUUGUUGUUGCAGAUUAAAACGAAGUAAGGAGACAAUUCCAAUUCCAUCAAGAUAGCAGUUAGCGAUUCCCUAUCAAAACAAAUUCAAAGUGUUGACGAAGCAUCCUGGUCGUUAUCGUAAGCUCAACCAAAUUACCGAUACCUUGCAAACUCUCCCAAUUCAUGUACACAUUUCAUACAUACAUUAAGUGUAUGUAGUACAACAAAAAUACUUUAAAAUCUCACGUUGAGAAGAAGGUUAUAUGUGGCAUGGUCAACUCAAGAUGGUUUCUUUAGUAUUUACCAACAAGUAAUUGCAAUGCUUUUAUAGAAUGAAAUUGGGAUAGUGAAGUAUACGACAUACAAUCAAUCCAUUUUUUGUUACUAACUAAAUUUGACUGAGUUUUGACACUAAAGUAAUAAGAGAGAAAUAUUAAAAAAAAAAAAAAGACAGAAAAUGGAAUAACCAAGCUAAAAUGAAAAAAAAAAAAAAAAAAAGAAUUUUAGCGCUUGAAAGAAAAGAUCAUACACAACAAAUGAAACAAAUGAAGUACCACUUGGCAGUUGGUUUGAAAAUUAAAAUUCAUGAUCAAACUAGUCCUCAGGUUUCAUUUUCCCAGUGAUCUUGGCCAAACAGGCAUUGUCCCCAUUGAUCACAUAGAGUCUCGGAGGGCCACAAUGUGCUCUUGGACAUAGUUCUGAGUUCUGAAAAACAGUUAUUAUAAAUGACAGAGGUAAAUUUUUGCGGUUCCAUUAACCCACGAUACGUAUUGGUUCAAAUCCUUAAACAAAAGAUCUUUCUUCAGUUGGUUCAAAUCCUUAAGCACAUGGCAGGAUAAGAGUAACACGGCCCUCUUGCUCUUGGUGGGCGCUUCUGAAAUGACUACAAAUUCUGGGAAGUAAUUCAAAUUCCAGAUAUGCAACCCGCCUCAGAUUCUGAGCAAGAAGAGCCAGAUAAUCUACGGUUUUGUAACAAAGACUGAUUCUGCAGCAAAUGGAAUAACCCAAACCAAGAAAAAAGAGCUUUCAGAAAUAUAUUUCAUUUCUCAACAGCAUUGUUUUCAACAUCCAUGAAAAUAUUCAUGCACAAAUUUAGAGAUCAUCAUGGUAAAGGAAUUCUUCCAUAGGAUUUUUCUUCUUGUAACCCCACUUACAUUUCAUAGAAUACAAGGAGUUGAAUAAUGCAAUUCUUGUGGAAAGAAGGGAAAUGAUGUUUGAAGUUGAAGGAGAUUUUGGACGAACUAUUGCGCAGCCACCAUCCAUGCCGUCUGUGCCAUCAGGGAAGUGCUACCACAAUAGUUUGCCAGCUCCACUGCCUCAUUUCUUUGUUGACUUCAAGAGAGUUUUGCAUGCUAAGCAGAUAAGUGUCUCCGAUUGAUAUCUAGCAACCGGUGUCUUUUGCAUGAUACGCCAAACUCAAAAACACAACUAGUAUUCCAAGAUAUUUUGUCAUCAUCCUCUCUGUGUGCUUCCAUUUAUGAUAGAGUCCAUCCUUGACAAUGCAACAACAUCAGGGGCCAUCUUGUACGUGUUAAAGAAAAUUGAAGCCAUAAUUACAACAACAGGAACUGAACCAUAGGGUACUCCAGAUGAAGAUACAGGACAACCUUGUUUGGCCUUGUAUCGAGACAAGACAAACAAAGAUGAUUAGAUCAUGAUUGGUGAAGACUGAAGACAAUGGACUUUAAUGCAUUUUCUCAUUCAACUUCCAAAGAUCACAUCAAUAGACUUCAUAAUUUGCAAAAACAAUGGCUGAUGAAGCAAUCCCAAGUCUGCAAAUAAUCAAAUAGCCCUUUAGUGGUGCUUCUGAAAUCACUACAAAUCCUGAAAAGUGAUCACCACAUUAUGAAGAUUAAGAGCCAUACUCCUAACAAAAUUCAGUGUACAUAACAAGUAUGCUAUGCACAUUUGGUGAUAAGAGGCAUGUUGUACUUUGCUGAGACCAAAAAUCAAAACAGAAAAUGUUAAGCCAGAGAACCAUCCAACAUCAUCUCACAAACAUUCAAAAGAAUUCAAUGUUGCAAGUCUUAGAGCCCCUUGGAAACAUGAGAAUCUCUUUUCGGAGAUUGUCCUCUGGUGCAUCUUCCGCAAAACCCACUGAAAACUUCUCCAAUACUUUACAAUUUUCCAACAAGUACCUGACCAUUUCCAGCUCUUAAUCUUCCCUCUUCAGGUUUGUUAUCUCAAUCACCUCAACACAUGAUGACAAACAAUGAGGUGCACACUCUGGUUCAACGCAAACAAGAUCCUCAAAUACAAUGUCUUGUAAUGUGUUAGGAGUCAAUUUAUGAGCCUAUGAAGCAAAAAGAAUCACACAUUUAAAAAACAAAGAGAACAAGUAAUGCAAUUAAUUAGCUAUGCAAACAAUAUAUUCUUAACUCACCUUUGAGAAGUCCAAGUUAAGAACUUUCAGACUUGGCGAGCUUUUGAGAAAUGGUGUCAACAGUUUCCAGCCAAAGCAAGAGUCAAUGUGCAACUCCAAUGAGAUCAGAUUGGAAAAUGUUGGCAAAUUAUUAUUUAAAACAAAGCUUAAAACCUACAAGAGAAAUAAAGAUAAUUGUCCAAUAAAAUUAGUACAAGAACUAAAUAACGAUAUAGUAUAAGUGAAAUAUUAAUCUUAAAGAAAAUAUUACCAAAUCAGGAGUGCAAAAUAUCAAGACAUUCAAAAAUUGAUAACCAGAGAAAAUAUUAAGUGCAGGAAAUACCGUCAUUGAGUCAGGUAAUGAUAAAAUCUUCGUACUUUUAAUUCUUUUCACAAGUUCUAGUGCACUUCUAGCAUCAUUUUCGAAGAUACCAGAAGAAUUUCUUCUAAGAACAUUGAAUUCAACAAGCACAAAUGCUUUUUUCAGAAAAGGUAUUUCAUCCAAUACAAAGUAUGCUAAGGAAUUAGCAAUAAUGCUGAGGUAUUCAAGAUUAGGGGUUCUAAUCUCAAAUAUACGCUCAGAGACGUAUCCUUGCAUUACGAAUACACUUAUGCUUAGCCUUUUGAGAGUCUGCACAAUAAUGUUAAUAGUCUGUACAUUAUCACGUGGGUGAAGAAUCCCUUCAAUUGUCAACUCUUCAAGUGUAGGACAACUACUAAAGAACUUCUGCAUUAGGCCACGAUCCGGAUGGCAAAAGCCAAAAUGAAGAAUUUUGAGACUCGGAAAACAUAUCCCGGAUCCGGGAAUAUCAAUAACAAUAUCACUGCACAGUUUUAACUCCACUAGUGUUUCACAAGUUAAAAUACUCUGGGGCAACUCUAGAAUCCUUUUAUGUCUAGUAAAGUUACUAGUACUAUAUACAUCAAGAAAAAGGUGGCGGACAUUGCGUUGGAUUGCAAAGCAUAUCCAUUCACUAACACGAGAAAAAUCUUUUUCUCGAAGAGUAGAACUUCUAAGAUGAAAAUUGUGAAUAUCUUUCAAUUGACAAAGACCAAGUACUCGUUCCACAAAAUUCAGGAACCAACUCCUCGGUUUUUCAUUACCCCCAUCAAAGUAAAGACCGUGGAUUGAAGUCCAAAGAUCCCUCCAUCUUGAUGAUAAAAUGCAGGUCCUGACAGCAUCUUCAGUUGGAAGACAUGAGAGGAUGCGACAAAGAAGAUGAUCUGGUAAUCUACUUGUAAUGUCACCUCUUGCAUUGUCUUUAUCAACGUUUUUCUGAUUCAUAAUUCUCUGACAAUGAUACAAUUAACUGCAACAAAUUUGAUAUAUGAAGACAAUUGCAAGCUUCCAUAAAUUUGUUAGAAUAGAAAAUACCAUCACCAGUCACCAAAAUUUAGAUAAAAAAAUUUAACAAUAAUUCAGAACCCUUCAAAUUGCAUCGAGUCACAGAAAUAAUCACCAGAUUUUUAACAAGCAAAUGCCAUGUCGGAAAAAAGAAAAAAAAGGCAAAUAAUGGAAGAAAGAAAAGUUUCCAAAACCGAAAACAAAAAUCUUAAGAAGACCACCAACUGUUGAGCACUAAAAUGAGUUUCCAUAAAGGUCACUGGUUAGCGGUUACAGCUCAAUUAUCAUUUUCAGUUAUUCAUAACAGUCAAAACCCACCCGACUUUAUAAAUUUCCCAUUAAUAUAUACAAAGUUUACCCCAAAAUAUUAAAACAGAAGGGGGAAAAAAUGAUAAAUUUAGAAUAAAUGAAAGAGAACCGGACUUGAGGCAGUGUGCUGUAAUCAACUCCUCGAAAUUGUUCAGCUUAGGAAAAGGAAAGGAUUGCGUUAAUAAUGUAGAUGAAAUGUAUCGUUUAUGUCCCUUUUUUUUAUUUAUUUAUUUAUAAAAAGACAUAGGUAACCUGUCAAAUUUUACGUAGUAGGUCCAGACUAUUGAUUUUUUUAAAAAAAAAAAUUAAUUAGCAAUGGCUAGAGUGAAAAUUGUAAUAAUAUAUCUAACCUUUAAAUUUCCCCCAAAAAAAUAAAUAAAUAAGUAACCUUCUCAUGAAGAAAAAAAGGUUUAUUUAAUAAAAAAUGACGAAUUAUGUUCUUAAAAGUAAAAUUUAUUCUGAAUUUUUUAUUGGUUCACAAGCAACAUUAUUGUCAAUCUAGAAAUUCAGUUAAUUAGAUAUGCUAAAAAUUUAUUUUUGAGUGCAUUCAAGAAACCAAAGAUUUUAUUUAGUAUUGAGGUGUUGUAAAUUUUAAACUAUAAUUACUGUAAAAAAAAUUAUAACUAUGAAAUAAAAGUUAAUAAUUUAUAAUAAAUAUAAUUUUUAAAUAAUAAUUUUGAUAAAAUUAAUAGUAAAUAUAUAAUAGAUUUUUCACUUUAUAAUUAUAAAAUUAAAUUAAUUUAAUUUUGAGGUUACAAGAAACUAAUGUUUAUCAAAUAUUAUAGUGUUGUACAACCUCACUCUCAAACAUGACCUCAAAUUCCAAAAAUAGGUUUCAAAAGUUUAUGGAGAAAACAAGAGUCUGCUUUCUAUUCUAAACGGAUCAAACCGAGAAAGAUUGGACAAUUAUCGAUAAGAAAAUUGUUUAAAGGCUUCUUUGGCCAGAGGAGGAAAAAAAAAGAACAAAAAACUCUGAGAUGCAAGAAAAUCGGCAGGCUUUCCUGCAGCGUGUAGACUGAUUGUUGGAGAUGCACACAAGAGCCCGACCCAAAGACUACAACAAAUUUCAAUAAACAAUUUAUUUAAGGGUGGGGCUAUAUGCACUCUGAAAAUUAAUUUGAACACUCAUAUUUUUACAAAAAAAAAAUUAUUACAAAAAUACCCAUGAUAUAAAUUACUAUUAAUGAUGCUUUAUUAUGAGCACAUAUAAUAUUAUUACUUUGGACACUCAUUUAGGGCACUGCAAUUAAUGUUUAAUUUUCUUACUAUUUUAAAUCUUAAGUUUUUUCUUCCAAAUAUCUUAAAUGAAUAUUUAUAAAAGAAACUUAAUAUGUGAAGAUUUUAACUUUAAUGAGGUAUGUGUGAUCCUUUUAAUUUUCUAAUUUACAGCACAAACAAUCUACCUUAUUCUUCCCCUUCGAGAUGGUUAGGUAAGUGAAUUGAUUGCCGUCUGAAUUUUAUGGAGUUUAGUAUAACGGGAUGUUCAAAUAUUGAAAUUCAUAUUGAAGUAUAAUGUUAUGGCUAGCAUGAAUCUUUGUGUUCAAGUAUUGAAAUUCAGUUUUGAAGUACAAUGUUAUGGCUAGCAUGUGUCUCGUUUGUGGGUCUUGAAACUACACAAAAUAGAUUCUUAAUUUCUAGCUGAGGAGUGUGUUCUUAUGUGCAUGUGGCGUAUGUAUUCUUUUGAUGAACAGACGGUGAUCAUUGCUUUAAAAAAUUUUAUAAUUUGUUAUGAUGAACAAGCGUAGUAUUUAUAAUUUAUCUUACAAUUUACUUUAAAAUAUCUUAUGUGGCGUCUAUAUUCUUUUACAAUAUAUAAUCAUCGCAUGCAAGAUUUCAAGGAAAUAAUUGGUGGCAACGUAGCUACAAAAGAAGUAAUAAUAGAUGUUGACAACAAUUAUCAAUAGAUUUCUUGAUAUAUUUUUUUGGACAAUUAAUUCUUUUUUGUAUGACUAUGAUUUGGCCAAAGGAUAUAUUGUUUAAUUGAUUUAUUUUUUUGAGUGUAUAUAGCAUUUUCAUGAGUGUGUAGAGUAAUUAAGAUGAUUAAUUUAAAAAGGAUUAAGUGAGGGCUUUUGUGGCAUUUUAAAAAGUGUACAAAGUAUAAGUUAUUUUUUAAAAAUUAAUAGAUGAGUGUACAUAGUAAUAGAGUGUUCAAAAUAAUUUUUAAAGUGCAUAUAGCCCUACCCUUUAUUUAAAUUGGUAUUUCAUUUUUGGAUUAAUAUUUUAUUAAUUAAUUAAUUAAAACUAAUAUUGAAUGUUAAAUAUAGAAAAUUAUUCAAGUAUUCUUUUAACAAUAAUAUUGAAUAUUAUUAGAAACUUUAAUAGAAACUUCACAAUCACAAUGAUCGGAUUGGCAUAUUGCAUCAUAGUCAAGAUGAUGAAUGCAUCGCAUUCCCAGCGUAGAAAAUCCAAAGGGCAAUCGAGUUAAAGAAGAUAGGAUUAGUCGUGGAAAACAAAAUGCAAGACGGAGGAAUCCUGAUAACAAAAUCCGAACUCAGUUUCAGAACUUCAAGUGUGUUUUGAAGUGCAAAUGCUAUCCGGCAACUCUACAGGAUUGUAAUACGACUCUAAAGCUUGGAGGGCUGCAAUUUAACAACCUGGCUCAGAUUCUUAUUAGGUCACUCAGUAUGCUAUAGAGGACCUCUACAGAAUAGUUGAAAUUUCAGCUAAAUUACGAGCGUACUCUCUCUUUAACAUUUAAAUAAUGACUUUCAGGUUAUCUGUGUUUCUGGAGGCAUUCUUUUUAGGUAACAAAUCAUUGUAGGUAGAAACAAUCAUAGCUAAAACAACAGAUAAGAACAUAGAUCUUGACAACAAGUAAAGUAGCUGAUAAUAUACAGGUGUCAGAGGAUAGAGAAGUAGGAAAGCAAGUAUAAAAUAUUAACGUCGCUUUUGAAAGCUGCACUAUACGUAUCGGCUGGAAAAUUAUUUCAAGAGGCAAUGGUUAAAAACAGUGGGUCUUGAUAAUUACAAAACAGUUGAUCUUUCCUUCCAUAUAUCUCAUAAAUUGUGGAUAUAUUCAGUGAUUUAUUUGAAGAAGAACCCCUCACUCCGAUUGUCAUUGCAAACAUAACAAACUAUUUUAUUUUAUGUUUCACAUCCAACCAAAGAAGUCCGACAUAACAUAUGCAGAGCAAAAGAAGGACCUUAAAACAAACUUGACACCAAAGCUUACAAACAUCACCUCGAAAGAAGAUGACAAACAUGUAUUUAUAGUUACAAGGAUGAAAAAUGGGCGGGGAAAAAAAUCAAAUUAAUGUACAUCAACAGCAUGAUAGGAACCAUUUAGAGGAAAAUUUCAGAGGAAUUCAACUUGACAAAACUUGGAAGCUCUUUCAAACAUCAAUAACUCCUGACACUGCUUAAGCUUUUCCUGCGAAGUCUGUGCCCAAGAUUUAACAAUCAGUUUUUCCAAACUAACGAUAUUCUUUAAGAAGUACUUGACCAAUUGAAAUUCAUGCUCGUAUCCUCCAAAACUCCUCAUUUCAAUUUUCUUGACAUGAAACAGCAGACAACGAGGUACAGGCUCUUCAAAGAUAAACCCGGAAUCACGCACCUGAUUACGAAGAAAACAAAUAUUAUAAACAAGAAAUUGAGUACCAUUUAAUUUAAAAAAGUUCAUCACAUUCCCACCGCAUGACUGUGAAUGAGAAGAACUUCUAAAUUUGGCAAACUAUUGAGGAUGGCAAGAAGCAGCUUCCAUGAAGUUCCUCCAAUAUGCACUUCCAAAUAUGUCAAGUUGGGGAAUGUUGGAAAGAAAUCCUCAUAAGCCAAAUCAAGAGCCUUUUAUAGAGAGAAAAAUAAUAAUAAUUCAGAAAACAAUAAAUUACAAACAAAACUCCAGCUAACUGAAUUUCCUAGAGAAUAAUUAUAUUAUCCUUUUUUAAAAAAAAAUGUCAGUACAAGGUGAUUGUGCAGCAAAUUAAAGAUUAAAAAAAAAAAAAAAUUAAGCAUAAGAAGCUUCAAAGCAUCAAUCAUUGGGUUGAGAAAGAACUUACAAACAUAGUUUCUGCGGACAAGGACAUAAACUUUAUUUCAUUGACUCCUUCAAGAAGCUCUAACACACGUUUAGCCUGAGGCAAUGGCCGCUCCACAUAGGAAGGCGAUGGCCGCUCCACAUAGGAAACAUCAAUAAAAGCUUCAGUUAAGGAAUGUAAUUCAUGCACCAUAUAGGAUACCAAAGCAUGAUCUAUAAUAUGGAAGCGUUCAAGAUUUGGAGCCCUAAUCAAAAUUUUGUGCUCAUUGUAAGAACUUUCCUGAUCUCCGAUGUCAAACCUUAUGCCUAACUUCUUCAGAGUAGGAGAUGAAAUAUUAAAGUUAGUCACCACAUCAGCAUUAAUCAGAAGUCCCACUAGGGACAAUUCCUCAAGCACGGGGCAAGCAGAAAAGAGCCUCUCAGUCAAGUUGUUAGGGAGACAAUACAUUUCAAUGUGAAGGAAUUUCAAACAUGGGAAACACAAUCCAGAGGGAGGAAUGUUGAUAACGAAAUCCGAGUAAAGUACAAGAACCUCAAGUGUUGUGGAAGUGCAGAGGCUCUCAGGCAACUCAACAGGAUCUUGACGCUCAAAAAAAUAAAAAAAAGAGUAUGCAGACCGUGACUCUCAAGAUAAAUUUCUAUUUCACGAACAUUACGCAUAAUUGCAGAAGAAACCCAGAAUUUUAAAAGAGAUAAAUCGGUGAGAUUCGAACAUUGGAGGGAGAACUUGGCAAGGGUUGCCGAGUUAGUACGAUCAAGUACCCAAUUCACAAAAUCCUCAAAUCCAAUACGAGGAUAGGCAUUCAUGGCAGCAAAAGUAUUAGUAAGUCCGAAAAGGAGAUCAAGAGCACGCAAGCUUAACCUGUGUACAAACUUAUCAAACCUUUGAGCAGUAUCCUUAGUCAAAGCAUCAUCAAUAUGCAUGUUAAUAGCAGGCCUUUCGCAUAACUCGUCGUCGAAGCAAAGAUUAGAAAGCCAGGUCCAAACAAGGUUCCAUCGUGAAGAGAGAAUGCGAGUAGCCACGGCAUGUUUUGCGGGUAAAAAUGAAAGAAUGUGACAAAGAAUUGGAUCAGGCAAACGACUGAUCCUAUCUUCGCUAUCAUGCUCGCCCACUUCAAGUAAUUCGGGCUGUCUACUGUCUGAGUCUGACUCUGAUUCUUCCAUCAUCAUGAAUGUGUGCUCCAGCUCGACAUUCUGUUUGAUCACUUUUCAUUUUCAUUUUUUAAAGUAAAAACAAUAUAUAUAGUAUCACCUGCUCUACUUGAAAUCAAACCCAAGUGUAAGACAAAUAGAUAAGGGAGAGACAAAGUUAAAAGAUGAAAGAACCUGAUUAGAUGAACGAGAUAAACACGAUGCUCCCAAUUCGCAAAUCAAGAUCACUGCCAAGCAAGCAAACGACGAUCACUUUGUUGCAGAAGGAGGAGCCUUAGAUCAAUUGCCAGCGGUUUGACUUUCGAUGAUUAUUAUUAACGUCUGGACAAAACGCGCCGUUUGGUGUUAUAAAUUCAACUUCUACGUAUGUCGAAUUGAGAAUAUUCCCUUCCAAGUUGUCAGCGCCCCAACUUGCUUGGUGAAUGUGUUUGAAUUAUGGCAACACGUGACAAAAUCUAAAAGACUCAUAAUAUAAUUGGUAAAAUUAAAAUAAAGUAAAUACCGCCGGCUACACUAUGUUUCUUCAACCAUAAACAUCGCAUAUAAAUAUAUUUAUCACCCGAAGAGGAGCUUAAACAAAAGGGUUUCUUUGGUGGCAUUGGAUGCUUUGUUUAAAGAACUGGAUCGCUCUCAAUGAUUCUAUCAAGACAACAUAUUUUAAGCAUUGAGUUGGUGGAAUGAUAUUAUAGAAGCCAUUGCAAACAGAGAAUUUCGAUUCCCAUGAUGCAAGGUACUAUGCUUAUUCUAGGUAAAACCAUCAAAAUGUAAGAGCAAUCACCAACUUGUUUAUUUGAUUCUGACAAACAUGUCAAGAAAUCGGAUUCAGAUUUGGAGACCUAAUCAUUUUUUCCAAACUAACGCUAUUCUUUUAGGAGUACUUGACUACUUCAAAUUGACGAUGUUUGUAACCUUCAAAAUUCCUCAUUUCAAUUUUCUUGACAUCUUGACAUGAAACAACAGACAAAGGGGCAUGGGCUCUUUAAAGACAAAUUCGAAGCCACGUACCUGAUUUCAAAGAAAACAAAUAUCAUAAGCAAGAAAUUAGGUUUAAUUUAAAGUUGACCAAAUAACUUUUAAAUUAGGCGAACUUAUGAGGAUGGCAAGAAGCAGUCUCCACGUAGUUCCUCUAAUCUCCACUUCUAACAUGGGUCAAGUUGGGAAAUGUAGGAAAGAUUUCCUCAUAACUGAAUCUGAAUUCUCCAACCUUAUAUAAGCCUAACUUCUUCAGAGAAGGAGACCAAAAGUUAAAGCUUAUCACCACACCAACAUCACUCAUAAGUCCCACUACCGAAAACUCCUCAAGCAGAAGGCAAGCAGAAAAGAGCCUCUCGGUCAUGUUACGAGGGGGAUUAUACAUUUCAACACGGAGAUUUUUCAAACUUGGGAAACGCAACCCAGAGGGAGAAAUUAUUGAUACAAAAUGUGAGUAAUGAAAAAGAACCUCAAGUGUUGUGGAAGAGUGGAUAUCCUCAGGCAACUCAAGAAGAUCGUAACCGUAAUGCUCGUGAUAAAAAAAGACUCUGAUUGUCAACAUGAAUUUCAAUCUCACGAACAUUACGCAUAACUGCAAAGAGAAACCCAGAAUUUCAAAAUAGAUAAAUCAUUGAACUUGAAACAAUGGAGAGAAAACUUGCAAAGGGUUGCCGAGUUAGUCAGACGAGAUACCCUGUUCACAAAAUUCUCACAAACCUAAGGGUAGUAGGAUUGGCAGUGAAGUCAACAGGAACAACACGAGUGGGAUCAAGAGUAGUCAAGCUUAACCUGUCUACAAAAUUGUCAGAACUGUGAGCACUAUCUUGAACAAUAUGAUUGUUAAUAGCAGGCGCCUCGCGUAACUGGUUGCGGAAGCAAAGAUUAGAAAGUGAAGCACAAACAAACUUCCAUCUUGAAGAGAGAAUGCAAGUUGCAACGGCAUGUUUUGUAGGCAAGAAUGAAAGAAUGUGACAAGGAAUUGGAUGAGAUAAAUGACUGAUCCCAUCUUUGCUAUCUUGCUUGGACUUCCUCUUACUGUUCAACUCCAUGAAUGUGCUCGACGUCUCUGUUUGAUCGCCGAGGAAGCUGGUGAAAUGAAUAAAUGAAAAUGGCAUCCUCUUCUACUUCAAUCAAUUCAAACACAAAGUUUAUAAAAGAUUACGGGUCGAAGUGAACUGAUGAAUGAACCUGAUUAGGCGAAAAAUAUAAACACGACACUCCCAAUAGGAGAAGCAAAGGAUGGGAUAGGCACUUUUCAACUUUACUGUAGAAGAAAAUAGAGCUGCAUCUGCAGCUUGCAAAAUUUCCUUGCUUAAACAAACUAUUUACGAAUGUCAAUAAGUAGAUUACCUAUUUAUUAAAGGCGGAACAAAACGCACCGUUUUCUGUAUUUCCAUCUAUAUGUCGAAUUAAUGAUUGCUUUAAUUCAUUUGCCCAGGACCAAAGUCAAAAGUCUAAUGUCAGUCUCCAUAAUCCAGAGAAAGUUUCUAAUAUUUAGUUAAAUUUUUAUAAAAAUGAGGAUUUGUUUGAUUUAUAAAUUCAAAAAUAUACAGUAUACUUAUUUAACAUUCAAUCUUCAUGUUGUACUAAUGGCUUAAAGGAACUCAGCGUGACAGGCUUUAGAGCCUCUUUCAAGCAUUAAUAAUUUCUGGAAAAAACAAUUCCCAAAUCAUAAUUAUUAAACCAAGGUCUUGUCAUUGGUAGACAGGCGUUCAAGAUUUGGAGCCCCAGUCAUAACUUGACACUCGUAAUUUGCAUGGAACUCUUUUUCUAAUAAGGUUAAUCUCUUCAAAGCAGGGGAUGGAAUGUUAAGGUUAAAUGGCUUAGUAUGAUCACCCAAAUGAAUGUUUGUAGACAUAUCUUCAAGCAUAGGGCAAAUGGUAAAGAGCCUUUCAGUAAAGCAGCUGUAACUGGGUCAAUAUAUGUCAACAUGAAGAUACUUGAGACUUGGAAAACAUACUCUAGAGGUAGGAAUCUUGAAAACAGAACCCCAUUUUAGUUUGAGAACUUCAAGUAUUUUGCAGGUGCAAAACAAUUCGAUGAGAUCAUGACUUUGUUCAAUUUUGGAUAUGAUACUAUGAUUUGUCAAGUAGAUCACGAUGAAUUUAUUAGUAAAUAAUAAAUUUGCAGUAGGUCCAAAUGCAUUAUCAAUAAAUUUUAACAUGUGUUUUUGAGUGAUCAUAACUAAUAUGUGUAACUAUUGAAACCUUCGAGAAAGUAGAACGUGAAUCUCUGUCAAAUAUCUGGCGGUCAAUGGAAGUAUUCUUUUUACAUUAGAAAAAUAUUUAGAAACAAUAACUACAACAACAAAUAAUUCCACAUAUCCAAUCCAAGCUUGAUUCUGAAAUUGACAGGACACAUUCUCUUAUGAUUUUUUAUGUAACUACACGUAAAGGCACAUGCGGCAACAAGACUGAUUCCGCAAAGCAUCCUUCCAAGUCUAGAGAAGAAAGUUUGCAUAGCAGAGCAAGGCAUAGUCAAGAACUCAGUAGUCAGUACAAUUUCUUUACCAAUAAGUAAUUGCAAUGCUUCCAUAGUAUCAAACUGGGACAGUGAUGACAUCCACAUACUGCUGCUAAAUCUAUUUUUGUUACUAAAUAAAUUUGACAAGAAUUUAAAAACUAUAACAGCAAAGACAGCAAAUGGAAUAAAUAACCAAACCACGAAAAGAUUUUUGGCACAUAUACUUCAUUUCUCAAUAGCAUUGUUUUCAACAUCCAUCAUAAGAUUCAUGUGUAAAUUUACAGAUCAUCAUGGUAAAGGAAUUCCUCCAGAGGAUUUUUCUUCUUGCAACCCCAUUUACAUUUUGUUGAACACAAGGAGUUGAAGGUUGCAAUUCUUGUGGAAUGAAGGGAGAUGAUGUUUGAAGUUGAAGGAGAUUUCGAAAGAACAAUUGCAUACCCAUCAUUCAUGUAGUCUGUUCCAUCAGGAAAGAGCUGCCACAAGAGGCUGCCGGCUCCGCUGCCUCCUUUCUUCGUUGAGUUCAAGAGAGUUUUGUAUACUGAGCUAAUCAGUGUGUCUCGGAAUGAUGUGUUAUAACCGGUGUCUUUUGCAGAUACGCCAAACUCAGUAAAUAGAACUGGCAUUCUGAGAUAUUUCUCAGCAUCCUCUAUGUGUGCUUCCAUCCAUGAUUUGGUGAAUUGAAGAUGGGCAUCAGAAAUAGUUUGUGAAAUCCUUCAUCAAUAAAAUUAAUCAGUCUAACAGAAGUUCUCAUAAUCAUAUAAUCAAAAUUCCCAGGGCAGUAUAAAUACUUUACCAAGAAUCGGCAUAAAUAUGAACUGAAGCAAAGUCAACACCAAGAGUCUGAUGGUUCCUUAUAAAGUCAGUUCCAACUUGUGUAGCGUAUGAAUUUGGAUUGAAUUUAGCUCUGUCAGGGGCUGAGGGCCCAUAAAAUCCUUCCAAUCCAAUCUCCACCAAGUGCUUUGCAUCAAUGCUUUUCACAUAAACUGCCAUUUCUUGUAUCCAUGACUGUGAAAGAAAGUUAUUCAACUACUUCAGAAUAUGAAAGUGAUUUGCUACCAACUACCACAAUAGGAUAUGUAGAUAACUAGAUAUGCAUAUACAGCAAACAUAAAAUAUUACGCCAUCAUUGAAAGAAAGAGAAGAAAAAUACCUGCAGAGUAUCACCAGAAGGAUCUGAGGUGCAUCGAGGCUCAUUCAUCAGCUCCCAAGCAAAAAUUGUGGGGUCAUUCUUGUAAGUUAGGUUUGUGAAAGUAUUGACUCUAUUGAGCACAGUCUACAUUCCAAAAUAUCAAAGAGAUUAACACACUUAGUUUUGCAACCAAUAUAAUUUUGACAUCAAUGGCAAUUUUUGUGGAAUUCUAGAUAUAUAUAGUUGACAAACAGACAAUCUCAAUUGCCAAGUUCAAUUCUGCUGCAACAUAUAAAAGAUGGUUACCUUGACAUGGGCCUUGUAGUAGCUCUUGAGAGUUGGAUGAGAGAAAAAUUCAUCGUCCGAAGUCAAAUUAAGGCCAGCAGCUUUUCCCCAUUUAACAUAUUGUGCCUUGCCACCAUAUGCAUCCCAGUUGUUCGUUAAUGACAGUAUGAGCCUGAUCUUAUACUUCUUUGCUUCACUUAUCACAAAAUCCAGGGCCUGGAAUUUGAGAAGCAAUGAUGAAAAUAAAGAGCAUCUAAAGUCUUGCUUUAUAGAAAUGGAGAGAAUUCAUAACAAGAAGAAAAAUUGCCUAAAGAAUGCAGAACCAACUUUAGGAAAAGACUAUUUUUUCUACCAUAAAGUUUAGCGGAGAGGAAUAACCUUGGAAGCAUGAGAAUUGAGAAGCAAGAGUACCUUAAAAACUUCUUCAUCAUAAACCGAUGGAGAUGUCUGAAGGGCUCGCCACUGGCCAUCGUUAAAUGCCCAAGUUCUACAAACUGUUAGACCAGCUGAAGAAGCUUGGUGAAAAAGCUCACUGACUUUUCCUCUUGUAGAUUGAUCCGCAGCAAAUACCAUCAACCAGUAAGUAUUGAACCCAUUAACAUAGAAGGGCUGGUCAUUAACCACAAAUUGGUUCCCUUGCCUCUGCACCAUUUGCCAGUCAUCAUCUUCCCUAACUUGCAAGUCAUAAAUCCUGCACAUUGGAACAAAAUAACUCAACAUUACAACCACAAAGAAAAUAUGAUCACCACAGCAUAUGGCAAAUAUCUCCAAUGGGAUUACCCACGAUGUGUGCUAGCAUAUGACAAAUGAUUCUCUGUUUCCUCCACUGUUAACUCAAAUCCCCAAUCACCAUCGACUCCAAAGACUGUCCAACUUGAGUUUUCAAUCAAAAUCAUGAAGAUAACCAAUGAGAAAAAGGACUUAGACCCAAGUGUUAUCUUGUGAUAAUCCAUGGUAUUAAGCAACUAAGCCGCAUUUUUCGAACUUCCUAGGACCACAUAUUUAUAUGUUCCCAUCAAAGGGUUCUUGUUUCUAAGGAACCAAAUUGUGAUAUACAAGAAGAGUAUAGAAGAGAAGAUAAACACUUUACCUUUGAAGCGAAGGAAUUUCCCUUCUUUCCUCGGCCAUUAUCUUCACUUUCUCUUGCAGAUACAGAUAGGUAUAGAGAGAUACGGAAGUUUGGUGUAGUAAAGAUUGUGACACACACUCUAAGCUAAGUCGCGAACUUACUCAAUUCACUUCCAAGAAUAAACGAUGGGACCCAAAAGACAAAACAUUUGUUAUUGUUCGGAUAUCACGAUCUUUCUUCUUGGAGAAACAUGAUCGAUUCUAUAAUAGGCUAAAAAGAAACUGUUACUUUUCACAUAUAUGAUUAACCCAUUUCGGAAUAUAUCAUUACCCGAGAGAGAAAGAAGGUAAAUUGAAGCUGGAACGAGAAAGAUACGUACUGGUUUGAGACUUUGUGUCGGUUCUGCUGGUGAUUGAUUUUACCCAGGUACGGCAUGCGAUCGGAGUUAUUUGAAGUGAAUUUUUUUUUUUAAUGAAUCGCAGUAAACUCUUCAUGUGAUAUAUAUUACACCAAUUGCUAUUGAAAUGUUUCUAUGCUGAGCUAUUGCUUAGAUUUACGUUUAUUCUAUUGAAAGAGAUGGCCCUAUUUAGUUCGUUGCAUAGAAUCAUAGGAGUGUAGUGUCACUGCUCGUAGAUUUGAGGAAGGUUGUAACAAAUUUUUAUCAAUUCUUAUGUGGCAACAGUUGCGUCAAGCAAUCUUGAUAAUUUUCUGUAGUAUUGGAGAUACUAAACAAAAGCAGCUUAAGCCAUGAAACCUGGCUAAUCUAAGAUACAAUCUAGGCUAGCAAGAUAAAACUCUAUAAAACAAACCAUGAAGCCCAGGGCCGAAAUGAAGAUUCUGUCGCAAAAACACAGAAUUUGAACAAUAUAGCUCUAUACAAGCCACGAAGGAAAAGAGCUGUAGAUAUGGUUCAUGUCCCUGUAUUUCGACGCCCAAACCUCGCAACAAAACCAGCCUUGAUGGGAACUACAAAAUGGCCAGACCCACACUACAAAUAAACAAGAAUCAAGCUUAUGUAUUGUUAAUAUGAGUUUGAACUAGUAGUAAUAAAUAAAUACGGUACCGAUAUUAUUAAUACCUGCUCACAUAUGAGAAAGAAGAGAUGAUUCCCAUUUGUAAGUAUAGUAUCUGGACUUUUGCAGUCCUUUGCUUGUCUCUGGAAAGCUUGGAGUUAUUCUCAAAAAGACUACUGAACAAUCUAUUUAGAAGCUGCACUUUCACAAUAGGCAUAGACAAUAAUACAAGAGCACAAGAGCACAAUUCAUUGCAGUAAAAUCUUACUCACAGCAAUGCAGGGCAUAUAACAUUUAAGAAAUGAAAAAUAGGUAUACGAUAAGUCACGAUAUAAACACAUAUCUAAUUACCCGAAAUAAAGUUUACUCAACACAUAGAGAAUACAACAAAACCAUAUGUAUUGAAUUAUUGAAUGAAUCCUCAGACUGUAAGAACACGAAAUAUUUACCUCUUCAAAAUUAUAGUCUCAGUCAGAUACUUCCCAAGGAUAUCGCAAGACUGUCUCUCCCCCUCCUUCCUUGCCUACAUCACUCCAGAAGAUGACAUAAAUAUCAUCUUAAUUGAUCUGUCGUAAGAUUUUAAGGAUUCUGAGCUAUAUUCCUUUACCCAAGAUUAAUAACUUUACAAUAGACAAUAAGCACUACCGUCAGAAUCCGAUUCUUGACUAAAAUUCUCAUAAUUCAAGAUAUUAUCUUCCACCUGUACGUAUGGAUAUCAAAUUACUGUGAAUUAACAUGCCACGGGCUUUUUACUUUGCCAGAAAGCAAUAAACUAACAAGUGUCUUCUCGUUGCUGUUAUGCAUUAGAACAAAUAACCUAUCUGUUGGAGAAAAACAGUUUUUUAAAUUUUUUAUAAAAAUUUUUAGGAUCGCUCUCAUACAAUAUAUAAGAAUUUGUAAUUUAGAAAUCGUACUUUAAAAAUUCGAUUUAACUUUUUCCCCUGAAGUGAUUUAGACUCCUAGAUCACAAUCCAUCACCACCAUUCCUGUUAGAUCACGAUCCGCCACCAAAUAAUCUUCCAGUCUAUAACUCAAGUUUAAUAUGCACUUAACGUGUGGGCGUUUUUAUCACCACUAAAGCAACUAGCAUGAGAAAAUUUUUCUCUCAACAAUAGAGAGAAAAAUCUUUUUCUCUGAUCUAUAUAAAGUGGUUGUUUUCUUUCUUUUGGGAGAAAAUAAACCAUUUUAUAUCUUUAUCUAGUAGAAACCCUAGGCUUCAUUUUUUUAUAUUAUUUAAUUCUAUUAAAUCAAAUUUGAUUUAAAUUAAAAAUAAUAAAUCAAGAGUAACGUUACUUCUUUCUUGUCAUAAGGGCCUACCUUGUAAAAUAAUAUAAGACCCCUUAGACACAAGUACAUUACAUGGAGUCUCCCACUAAAUAUUAUAUUUAGGUUUUUAACCUAAAUAACUAGUUAUCUUGCUUAUUAAUCCAGUAGUGGCGCAGUCAAUUAAAUGAACUAACCCGGGAUCAUUUGGGAACAUACAAUAGUGGCUACAAUAAUUAGACUUGUAAUUAAACUAACUCAAUUAUUUAAUUUCAAAUCUACUCCACUAAAAAAUUGGAACUUACAUCCAUAAUUGUAUGCUCGAAUAAUAAUUCGUCCCAAGCCACAUUAAUUUCUUUACUGCACAAUCCUUUGUACCACAUUAUUAAUUAAAUCGAUAUCUCAACUGUCCAAUCAAUUUAAUUACAUCUUGUUCCUUGAUUCUUACUGGUUUUCUCUAAUGAUCAUUUUCAACAUACUAAAUAUGUUGACACACUCUGGGCAGAGAAUUCUAUUAUCAAAUGCCGAAAAUCCAUCAAGAGAUGUAUUGUACAAAUUCUAUAUUGUCAAUUUAUAACGUCAAUACUCAUAAUUGCUCCCACCAAGAUACCGGGUGAUCUUUACUACAAGUAUGUGUCGUGCCCAUUGGUAACUCAAAUGGAAUAACAAUUACAAUCAUGAAAUCAUAAUUAACUCAAGAUUAAGAUUACAGUAAAAUCAAUGCCUAUGAGAUUUAAUAAGUCUGACAGUCAUUUCAAGGUUAAUUAAAUCUCAUAUGUGAUCCAGCUCAAUGUAGUCAAACUACAUCAGUAAAUUCAUACAUGAUUAAGACAAAUGAUUCAAUGAAUUUACUACAGUCUAAACAUAAAUAGAGCGUCCAACUCUAUUUAUCAACUGCGAACUUAAUUUAUUUAAUCAUAAGAUAACUUGUAUUUAUGUCUUCUUUGAGUCCAUAUGAUGAUCACAUAAAUACAUAUAAUAUGAUUAAACGAACCUUAUUCAAAAUAUUUAUGCAAUUGAAAAUAUCACUAAUAUUUUAUUAAUCAGAAAAUAAAUUAAUAUGCUUUAAAAGAGCAUAUAAUCCCAACACUAUUUGCAUUAAUAAAGUUAAUGCAAAAUUGGCGCCACUAGUAACUACAUUCUGAGUGUUUAUUUUAUUUUUAACACAAGCUCAAGUUUGCUUACGUAAAUGAGUCACAAACUAUCAAAACAAAUAGCAGACGUAACAUAGAAUUAGAGGAAGAAAUUUUACCUUGUGAUGUAUCCUCUUUCAGUCCUACACUUAUUUCUUUAGCCACUUCAGCGCCUAGUCUAUUUCUGCAGCUGAAGCCGAAAAACGACUAAACAAAAACGACGUCGUUGGUUUCAGUCCGUCUUCGGAUGUUAGGCCGCAUUAUAACAUAGACACAUUAUGGGGCCCAUUCUUCAUGUGCUUAAACAACAUAUUUGAAACUGAGCAGCAUUUGGAAAUUGGUCUUGCGCGACACUUGUCGGUUUUUUCAUUUUUUUUAUAGCUUUUCGUUACAUUUAUGACAAUUAAAAACUUGUAGCGCUCCUCAAAACGGGAAACUGGAAUGACAAAAAAGUUCGAUCUGAAUUUUAACUCAAUUGAUUUGUCUCGAAAUUUUAGGGUUUUGGCCCCAAUUUAAGGAUCAAAAUUCAGUCUCGAGCUUAAAAUUAAAUAUCCGAUUAUAUUCAUGUCAGGGUUUGAGCCUUAUAUGGUUCGGCCUGACCCAACCCGACCUAAUUUGUUAACAAAAAAAAAAUUCACACACAUGCGCGCUGCCUACGCACACAUUAACACAUAACACACACAUUUCCCAUUCUAAACCCUAACGCAAGAGAAGUAAUCGUUGCUGCUAACCACCAACCACGCUCACGCCGCCAGCCUGCGGCUAAUGUGAGUGCAAUCUUGACCACGAGUCCACAAUAGCCGCUACGGCUUGCUGCAAGCCUGCAACUUCUAUCACCAGCACCACUUGUGAUUUUAUUAUUUAAUUAGGGGAGUUGAAUUUAAUUAUUUAAAUAUUAAAUAAUAAAAAAAAAUUGGUUGGGCUGGGAAAAAACCCGAGCCUGACCUUGACCCCAUUGGGUUGGGCCAGAAUAUGAAAUUGAUUUUAGCAUUGGGCCUUUGUUGGUGUGAUUGGGUUGGGCUCGGAUUUGGUCAAGCCCGAGCCUGACCUAAUAAUUAACCAACCCUAACGAGAAAAAAAAGCGACAAAUUUUUUUUAAAUAUGAUAAAUAAUAUGAGAGGCCAUGUGUCAUUCAUUGAAUAGACUCAAUAAAGAUAGUAUAAUAAAUUCAUUUUGUGAAUUUCAUCGCUCACUUGAUGGAAGAUGGAUACAUCACCAUUUUUUACUAAUUGACAAACAUAAACGAAAUAAUUUAUUAUUUUAAAGUUGUAACAAAAAAAAAAAGACGGUCAUUCAAUUUUUUCGAUUCCACUGAUGGACGUUUUCUCUCUCUUAAAAGUCUCCAAAAAUUGACGUCGUGAAUGACUUGGGGUUAAGGAGUUUGAUUCUCACAAAGUGCAGUGUGAAUUCCACAUUAGGUUUACGAAUUUGGAAAUAUUUAUAGAUUUUUUAACCCACCCUUCAUAAAACGCGCCUUCAAAGCAUUUAAACCACCGUCCUCCUGUCCUGUUCUGGCCCCGCAAGAUUAAAGCGACCCACACGCAAUCUGGACCUACAGAUUCCUAGUUUUAAAUCGGUGGGGCCAACACCGCCACAUUAAAUCAAACGCCACCAAAUGACAAUUAACGAGCACUUCCGCAAAUGAUCACAAACCGCGUAGGCGCUUCCCCUAAACGCGCUUAUUAUAUUGUAUUGUACAUAUGCACUCCUGAUAACUCACAGCACCUUAAGAGUGAUGAUCUGUCAGCCUAUCAUAACCCACUACCCAGUGGCAAAUCCCGUAAUAGACCAAAGUUGCCAAGGUCCUUCCAGCCAUUUCCACAGUUCCACCCUUCAGGUUGUCUUUUAUUGAUUAAAAUUUCAUUUUCUUAAAACGAUUACAGAUUACUGACCUAAUGGACGAGUUAAAACAUUGUGCAAAAUUGCAAUAAACAUCCAGCCCCUUUUAUUUUAGUAUAAUAUCGAAUGAGUGCAUACGGGUUUUUAUUUUCCAUGAAGUCCCUACCGUCAGAUUAAAUAUAAUAAAAUGAGUGUAAUCCAAAUUUUCGAGAUUUUGAGCAGGUUACAUAUAUAAUAGUAGAGUAAUAAAAUUACAUAUUGUAUUAAGCUAACUUUAAUUAAUUUCGACCAUAAAGCAUUUAAAUCUUUAAGUUUGGCUUCCUUUGGGGAAUAUUUAGAGUUCAGGGAUACAAUUGUUAUUAUCGGUUAAAAAAGCAGCAGUAACCACCCACUGCCAGUAUAAAAUUCGGACACAGCUCGAUUCCAGCUUCUGGUUCUUUCAAACCUCCGUUUCUCUCUCUCUCUCUCUCUCUCUCUCUGUCUCUGUCUAUCUGCCCCCCCCCCCCCCCACGGAAGCUCUUAACUCGUGUUCUGUCCCAUACGACUCAGUGAGUUAGUCCGCUUCAUGCUAAGGUAACGUUCGCUUAACUGCCCCCUUUAGUACCCACAUCUUUCUUUCGGACUUGAAAUUUUCCCAUUUCUCAAGUAUUUUUCUUUUUUUCUCUGUUUCAGCUUCUCAAAGUCUUUGGAUCUGAAGAAUUCCUGCUUGGAUUCAUAAUUUGUUUAGCUGAAAAGUUUGUCCUUUGAGCUCAUAACUCAUUAAAAAAAAAAAAAGUUCUGAUCUUGAAUUUACAGAGUCAGAUCUUGCUUGUUCAUUUGUCUUUUUCAAUGUCCUGAUUGAAUUCUUCUGCUCAUAUAAAUCUUUCCUAUUCUAAAAUUCCUGUAAACUAAGCUGAUUUGUUAAAAAGAAAAAAAAUCAGCUUUUUGUGUCCAUGAAGAACUUAAAUAAGCAAUUUCUUUCUACCCUCUUCAUCUUUCUUUCCUUAGCUUCUGCUAUUCAUGUCACCUUAGCUGCUGAUUACAUACCCAGUGAACAAAUUCUCUUAAAUUGUGGUGAAUCCUCAAUACUCAGUGAUGACGAUAAACGGAGUUGGACUCCUGAUAUCGGGUCAAAGUUUUUGUUAUCAACUAAGGAUUCCACGACCUCUAAAGCUGCCACUCAAGACCCUUCUACACCGACAAUUCCUUACAUGACCGCUAGGGUUUUCCGUUCUGAGUUUACCUACAGUUUCCCUGUUGUUGCUGGUCGUAAGUUUGUGCGGCUUUAUUUCUAUCCGAAUUCAUACAAUCGGCUUAAUGCAACCGAUGCUCUCUUUUCGGUGAGUACCGGGCCUUAUACUCUUCUUAAGAACUUUAGUGUUGCUCAAACUGCAGAAGCUUUGAAUUAUGCUUAUGUUAUUAAGGAGUAUGCGAUUCCUGUCGAUGGGGAAACUUUGAAUAUCACGUUUAGUCCUAUGAAUGUUUCAAAUGCGUAUGCGUUUGUGAAUGGGAUUGAGGUGAUGUCAAUGCCUGAUAUUUAUAAAAAUACUGAUGGAGAUUUGAUGAUUGUGGGUCAAAGUUCUCCUAUCUCCAUUGAUAACACUACUGCUCUUGAGAAUGUUUAUCGGUUGAAUGUGGGUGGAAAAGAUAUCUCCCCUUCAGGAGAUACGGGUCUGUUUAGGUCUUGGUAUGACGACCAGCCAUACAUUUUUGGAGCAGCGUUGGGGGUGCCGGUGACAAUUGGUCCAAAUAUGACGGUUAGGUACCCGAGUAACAUUCCUUCCUAUGUUGCACCUGUUGAUGUCUACGCCACCGCACGACAAAUGGGGCCAAAUCCUCAAAUCAACUUAAAUUACGAGUUGUCUUGGGUUUUCAGCGUUGACUCAGGAUUCUCUUAUCUGGUUAGGCUUCAUUUCUGUGAGGUUCUUCCAGAGAUAACCAAAAUUAAUCAGAGAGUCUUUGACAUUUUGCUCAACAAUCAAACUGCUUUUCCUGCAUUUGAUGUGGCUGGGUUGACAAAGGGUAAUGGAAUUCCAUUAUAUCAGGAUUUUGCGGUUUUUGUUCCAGGUAAUGGACCUCAGAAGGAUCUAUGGCUUGGGCUACAUCCAAAUGUGGCUUCAAAGACACAGUAUUAUGAUGCAAUCUUAAAUGGAGUUGAGAUAUUCAAAUUAAGUGAUCCAAAUAGUAAUCUUGCUGGGCCAAAUCCUAUCCCUGCUCCUAAACAGGAUGUAGUUGAUCCAUCUUUGGCUCUACCAUCGAGUUCCUCGGGUAAUUCAAAGCAGAAAGCAAUAAUUGGUGGGGGUGUUGGUGGAGGAAUUGCUCUAGCCCUUGUCGUUGGCUUUUGUGUUUUUGCUGCAUCUCGUUGCCGCAGACAAGGGAAGGAUCCGAGCUCAAGUGAUGCACAAUCUGGUUGGCUUCCUCUUUCACUCUAUGGAAAUUCACACUCUGCUGGAUCAGCCAAGACAAACACUACAGGAAGUUAUGCAUCUUCCCUUCCUUCAAAUCUUUGCCGCCACUUCUCAUUUGCUGAGAUAAAAGCUGCCACUAACAACUUUGAUGAAGCUCUACUUCUUGGGGUUGGAGGUUUUGGCAAAGUGUACCGUGGAGAAAUCGAUGGUGCAACAACUAAAGUUGCUAUCAAGCGUGGGAACCCACUCUCUGAGCAAGGUGUGCAUGAGUUCCAGACUGAGAUUGAAAUGCUCUCAAAACUUCGACACCGACACCUUGUUUCAUUGAUUGGUUACUGUGAAGAGAACUGUGAAAUGAUCCUUGUAUAUGAUUACAUGGCUUAUGGAACACUGAGGGAGCAUCUUUACAAAACUCAAAAGCCCCCUCUGCCAUGGAAGCAAAGGCUUGAGAUAUGUAUUGGGGCUGCUCGAGGUUUACACUAUCUCCACACUGGUGCCAAACACACGAUUAUCCACAGAGAUGUUAAGACUACCAAUAUUCUUUUGGACGAGAAGUGGGUGGCAAAGGUUUCUGAUUUUGGUUUGUCAAAAACAGGUCCCACGUUGGAUCACACUCAUGUCAGCACUGUUGUGAAGGGUAGUUUUGGCUAUUUGGACCCAGAGUACUUCAGGCGUCAGCAACUAACAGAGAAGUCUGAUGUUUAUUCUUUUGGUGUCGUGCUCUUUGAAAUCCUGUGUGCUCGACCAGCCUUAAACCCAACUUUGCCCAAGGAGCAAGUGAGCUUGGCUGAGUGGGCUGCUCAUUGUCACAAGAAAGGAAUACUCGAACAGAUUAUGGACCCUUAUCUCAAGGGAAAGAUUGCACCUGAAUGCUUCAAAAAGUUUGCCGAGACAGCAAUGAAGUGUGUAUCUGAUCAAGGUAUUGAGAGGCCAUCAAUGGGCGAUGUGCUGUGGAACCUAGAGUUCGCUUUGCAGCUACAAGAGAGUGCAGAGGAAAGCGGCAAAGUUCUUGGCGGAGGAAUGGACAUUGAGGAAGGAGCAUUUGAUGUCGACUGUAAAGGUAAGAAAGAUCCCAACGCAUGUUCAGGUUUUAAUGGCAACAUCACAGAUUCGAGGAGCACUGGAAUGAGCAUGAGCAUAGGUGGCCGGAGCUUAGCAAGUGAAGACUCAGAUGGGUUAACACCAAGUGCAGUAUUCUCACAGAUCAUGAACCCCAAAGGGCGAUAGAAUCACAAGCGUCCUUGCCAGAAUCCGGUAAUGCAACUGGAUUGCUUAUCAACUUUUCAGUUUACUUUGGCUUAUUCAUUUAUUUACCAAUAAUCAUUUUUCUCUCUUUUUUCCCCCCUCCCCUCUUCACAUGUUUUGAUCAUGUCACAAUUUGUAUCUAGUAUCUAAGAUUAAAUGAAAGAGUGUAAAAGCAAUUUGUCUUCACUUCAUUUCAAUGAGUAUCAUGUCACAAUUUGUAUUUUGUUAUUUAUAUAUAUUGUCUAUAUAUUUUUCAUAGCACGCUUAGUUUCAUAUAGCCGGUUGUGAUUGUGAUUGGACAACCGUUUGAUGACUCAAAUCUCAAAUCUGAAAAGAAUCAACAGUAGCAGUAUAUAAUAAAAACCUAUGUGUCCUCUGCCAUAAAAUUCGGCUGAUUACAUGUGAGUGGGGGCCUUGUUAGUUGAUCUUAUAGAAAGGCCAUUAUGCAAGGCAACGACCACAUUCAGUAUCCUUUCUAUUUAUUUCCCAUUUUAAUAAGAUUACUAGAAAUAUAAAAAUUAAAAAGAAUUGGGGAGAAGGGUAUUCUCGAUAAGCUGGCAAACGUGGGAAGGGGCUAGUGGAGAGAUGGCUUGGGGUCCUCUUUAUACGCGGCUAUAUCUUUUCUUGAAUAAUUGACCUUUGUGACAGAGCAAGGUCCUUGAAAUAUAUAAUACUAAUUUUUUAUUCUGCUUUCAGUUUUGAUUUUCACCAAGAUUUUAUAUUGCUAGUUUGAUUUGACUUUAAUGUUGGCACGUAAGGCGCUUGAUUCUAGACACAACGUUUAAAUUAGAAAAGUGAGACCACUCGUUUUAUGAUAAUUUCAUUUCACAACUGCCAAAUAAAAGGUCACAAAAUAAAAAUAAAUAAAUAACUUGUAAUGAACCGCAUGUGAACUCGUACCAAUUCACAGCUAUGAUUCAACGAGUGAAAACUCUUUCCAACAAAAGCAAAUCUGGCAUAAACAUGGAGAAAAAAAAAAGGGGAAAAUAACUUAAUUUGGUCCAGGCAAAUUCUUUAGAAAAGGCACCGCCACUUGUAACAUUUAAAGCAGAAACAACCGAACCGAUUAGGAAUAAAUGUACAUCCACCCACUUUCUUUCCUUUAGUGGUUCCAGCCAGACCGAAAGGAGGAGGAAAGAGUCAACAAUGCGUAGGAAGCUGUAUGCAUUAAUGUCUUUUUCUGUCAAAUUUUGUAAGCAAAAAUAUGAGAAUAUCCUCCGAUGCCGAGCGAAUUGCACGGAUAAAGAUUUCAAAAAAAAAGAAUUGAUCUAAUGUUAUAAUCUAUAUAAGGUUCCAACAUUAUUAUUAGAAAAUAGUCCGCAAAGAAUUGAAGAACUACAGAUGAGUAUAUAAAAAGAAUUUAAUUAUGUGAAUCGAAAAAUAAACAUUGCUAUUACAAGAAUUGCAGGUCCUUGUGGACACCCCAAUAUUCUAGCCGAAUUUAUAACUGGCCAAUUAAAAAUCGGGUUUCUUUUCGCAAAGCAACGAAAAAAGCUAUUAAAUUUACGGAACAUGCUGAUACAAAAGGAAUUCAAGUACAAAUUGUAAGUGAUGGGUAUGGAAGCCAGAAAAAAAGUAGACUUUGAGGUCUAUUGACGACACAAGAGUGGUGACCAAAAGAUGUUAUUCAUUUCUAAGGAAAAAAAAAAAACAGUAACGGUGCAUAUAUUCUCAUAUUUCCAUUUCAUUGUUUCAUGAACAGGGUUGGAUUGAAUCACAAAUCACAUAAGCAGCCAUUUCUACAGAAAGUAAUGCAUAAAUAUACAACCAAAAAAAAAAAAAAUCUUGCAAUCAAGCAAUCUUAUCUAACUACUAGCACAGAAACAUACACAGAUUGGUGGCAAUGCUAACACAGAUUGGACGACCAUUGUAAUCAUCAUUUUUGACUUGGGACAACUGAGUCUACAGCCGCCGCUACCUUCUUCUGUAGCUCUGGCUUGUUUGCUCCAACUAGCUUGUCAACUUGCUGCCCAUCUUUAAGAAAGAAGAAAGUUGGAGUGGCUUUGAUAUCCCAUGAAGUGCUGAACUCCUGCAUCACACACAAGAAGCCAUGCUUCCAAUAAUUGCUAUUUCACCCGGACAAAUCUCAUCACUAUAGAAGUUCAGCAGAUUUUACCAUACAAACCCAAUAACUUCAGCGUAUAGAAUGAUUUGCACAAUAAAUUUCCCUGGAUUGUUACUUCUUGAUUUCCUAUCUUGUGAAUGUUCUUAGGAAAAUUGUUUAUGACUUAUGAGUAUAGUCCAUUGGCAUCAGUAAAGGCAUUCCAAGAUCAAUUGUUAAAAUUUCUAAGUCAGGUUUCUUCAAAGUUCAAAAAAAUAGUAUAUUACUUACAACUAGUUCAUCAACAUCGACCAAAAGGAACAUUAACGAAGGGUAUUUCUCAGAUAGCUCGCUGAAGAAUGGUGCAAUCAUUCUACAAGGACCACACCAUGUUGCGCUGAAGUUCGCAAUCACCUGUUCAAUCAUAUAUUUAUGAAAGAAGACUCAUCAGAUAAGUCAAAUUAAACUUCACUAAUCAGUCUUAAUUGAACUAUAACUGCAAGCCAGGAUUGAGUAUUCUGUCCGUAAGAGGUGGAAAAAAAUUCUAGCAAAUAUCUAGCGACACCAAGAAGCAAUCUAUUCAGGGAAGGAAAACAUAAAACGCAACAGUGAUGAGGCAUAAUGUACUCAACUUUCUUUUCGUGAAUCCACAAAAUGCAAUAUUAAAAGAAUUUUAGAACAGAACUCAUUAUAUUUGACCUAAAUUCAUUCACUGAAGAUAUUAGCGAUAUUCCCAGCUUCAUAAUUGAUGCCGGGUAUUCUGUGAUGCAAACGUCAAACAUGACAUUUGACAUUUUUAAAUAAGGACAUAUAUUUGCUGUAAAUCUUUGAUUCUCAAAUGUGAAAUUUUGAGCAAGGGUGCCAAUCUUUAUAAAGGCCAGAUUUGUUGGCACAUUAUAGGAUUUGAAUGCUCAACAAAACAUAAAACAUUCUGGUCAAAACAACGAAAGCAGGCCAUUCAACAUGAUCAUCAAAAUCCCAGACAGCAUAUGCUAAAUGCUCUUUCUCUGGCCUGAAAAUAAGGUGACAGAUAACUUACUAUCUUCCCUUCCUUACUAGCUUCUGACAUCUUUUGGUCCCAUAUAUCUUUGGUAGUAACAAGACUCACAUUCCCACCAGCAAACUCAACAGGAUGUUCACCAUCCUCCUCAUCAUGUUGACGCUACAAACAUCAUGAACAUUGCAGAGUUAGGAUGAAAACGGAUAAGUCUUAUAUAGUUGCUUCACUAAAACAGCCAAAACAACAAAUAUUUGCAUAUAUGGUCAUUGAUUUCAUAGCUUUCAAAGAUUUUCAUCCAUUUACUAAGAUUAAGCCAUAAGAGAAAAAACAGAAUUUCAUGUGCAGAGAAACAGAAAAAUUCUACAGACACCAGCCUAAAAGUAAUUACCUUGGACAAACACGUUCCCAUAUUGAAGCUUUGAAGGCCUGAAAGCUAACAGUUAACAGACGGAUAACCUGAAAGUUGAAGACCAUCAAUGUGACAUAUCUGGAAUUGCAUAUAAACUCUCUUUUAACUGUUCAUUCUAGUUGAAAACAAUAACGCAAAUGAAGCCGUCAUAUCCUUUCUCUUCAAAGUCCUAUUUAAGUAAAUAAAUUCAGAACUAAUGAUCUUGUCCAAAUAGAGCAGAGUAAAACAGGCAUCAGUAGGCAUAAUUACAGAAGAUAUUCAGCAAAUUUAGAAAUAUAAUUUUUGCAUCUCUAUUGCUAGUUCAGAUUAUUCUAAUAAAAAAGGUCCUUACAAAAAUAUUGCUUUCCAGGCGUUAGCAUUUAAGGCAUCAAAUUUCCAGCUUCUUUCGAACAAAAAGCAGGUAAUAAUUUCCUAUUAACAAAAUGAAUUAUAAGCAACAACAAAUAAGACAAAUCUAUCAAGUUCCAUUGCUUUAGAAGAUUAGCUCAAUCUUAGCACUUAAUUGGCAUUGAUCAGGCCAAAAAAAAAAAAAAAUCAAUUCAAAAAUGAAAUCUACAAAACCGAAACAAAACAUAAGAACGAAAAUUUAAAUGAAUUUACCUUAAACCUAAACAAUAUCAUCGAUUAAAGGAGCAAAGAAAUUCGCGAUUAACUUAAAAUUGGAAAUCAGAAUAGAAAGAUUCAAAUUUUCAAAAACUUACCAGACAACAAAACGCCGACGUUCACAGAAUUGAGAAGGAUAUACAGUUAUAUAAUAAAGAUGGGAGAGUAUCUAUCUGCGAUUAAAAAUAAACGUCUCGUUAUUAUAGAAUUAAAAGAUGAUUAAGGGAACAAAUCACAGUUACCGAACAACGUGAACAUCGUUUUUUUCAGUGUGAAUGUAUUUGUGUUUUGUUUGUUUGUUUCUAAAUUCGGGUACCAAGCUGUAAUUACGUUAUUAACCUCACCAUGUCGGUUAAAUGAUUACUUUGACUGCUACCCAGACCUCUGUCAGAGCUAGGAUCGUAUUUACUUGAAUACCCUUCAUAUUUAGUUGUGUGCGAUUGUAGGCUUUAUAGCCAUUUAUAGGUGAGCGGGUGUCGGGGGCGUUAUGGUCAAGUUCAAUGGAGUCAGUAUGUGGCUGGUAAUUAGUAAAUAGAACGGUCAUGGGGCAUAAGUCAGAAAAAAUCAACGGUUUUGAUGGUAAGAGAAUUUUCUUGGAAUCAUUGAAGGGUAGAUAAUUUUCAAUGGGGACGCUGAGCCUUUGUCAGAAAUUAUCACUGGGAAUAACGACGGGGUCAAGGGCCUUGCAAUUUGAAAACAACUGUGGCACCCCCGAUCCAAUUUCUAGUUUCUUACAAACAAAUCCAUGAAAAUGGACUAAUUGACGACGCGAUACUGCGAUGCAACUAUGGGAACCUUUGAUUCUGUUGAAUUAGAAAGUCAGCCCGGAAAUGGAAAAAAGAGAGAGCCAAUCGAAUCUGAUGGGCUAGUCAGCCUCAACGGCUCAACAGUAGUCUUUGAUAGAAGGAGUUGAGUUAGAUUGUCUAAGAUUUAAAGUUGAAACAGAACACACAGUCUGUGCCAGAAUUUAUAAGUGAAAACAAACGAAUUAAAGAUAUCAUAGAAAGAAAAAGUCUUACGAAUUUCAAGUACCAACAUGAUUCGCCUAUUUUAUCACAAGUUUUCUAUUAUGGAAGAAAUUUCCAAGGAAGCGAAGGCGUUUGUUUCUUCAUGAUUAUUGAAUGGACACAGACGCGGCGAUGUAAGAAUGUUUGGCGCAAAAUAGUAAACAAGUACUUAAGCCAUUAACUACAUUCCAUCAAAGGAGCUUCAAACACAAACAUUCAACAUUAACAUAAAAACGUCCCGCCCUUGCAACUCCUCCCAACACCAUUCUAAAACACCAACGUCUGCCCUCCCCAAAGCAAGUUAAAGAAAAUAGAUAGACAACACACACAACAUAUUUCAAUAAAUGCGUUCCUUUUUCUGCAAUAUCCUAACAACCUUCAUCCCAUGGCAUACUUCUGUGUCCAGCUCCUGGCCGUGGAUUCAUAUUUGGCCUUGUCGGACUUGUACAUGUGGGCAAUCUCCGGUACAAGAGGGUCAUCAGGAUUUGGAUCAGUAAGCAAGGAGCAGAUAGAGAGCAGGACCUGAUACGCAUAUAAUUUUCAGUUGCAUAACCAACAACCAACUACUAUAUUGCCAUAAACUCAAUAUUUUAAAUAGUAUUUUUACAUCAACAUCAAGAGUUUCCUCUCAAUCCACCACCAUCCAACCCCUUAUUAAAGCCAGAUUUCAACAUAGGCAUAUACUUAUAGAUGUACCGAAAUAGACUUAACAGAUGACAAAGCUUGAAAAAACUUGUACAGUUAAUGUCAAAUAAUUUCACCACAAAUAGAAGCGUAUUUGUAGGACACUGAUAGGUGUGACGAAAAUGAGAGUGAUGUUGAUCGUUUAAAUAUUUUUUAUAUAGCUGUAAUCUCAUUGUGGAGGCUUAAUUGGACCUUGAGUAGAAGGGAAGAAAGCUAGCAAAAUGAUUAAGAAAUAAAGAAGGACAAAACAAUUUCUUAAUGAACUGGGAAAUUUCAGUUCGUUUCCCUCAAAAAUCUCUCAGAUGAGAUAAAAAGAGCACGUAUCUGCUAUCCAACUUACUUUGCAAGAUCCAAAAGAUGCACUUGGGAGUACAACUUUAUGAUCCCAGGGUCAGUUUUACCUGGCUGUGCAAGACCAGAGAGUUGUACGCCACUACUAAACCAGAAUAAAAAGAUUUUAAACACAUAAAAUGCUACUAAUUAAAUCUAAAAGGAGGGAAUUCAAACCUUUGAAAUGGUAAGCGCUGGACUCCACUGUUCUUUAAGGAUAUCAAGACAGAUGCUUCCAUUGCUGUUGAUGUUCGGGUGGAAGACCUUGGUCCUAAAAGCAACCUAAACAACAAAAUACCAUGAUAAAUUUUAAGUCAAAAGACUCGAAACAACCCCAUACACGACCACUGUCAAAAAAAAAAUUAUUAUCAGACGCUUGAUUUGCAUUCAAAAGAAUAGUCACCUUUGGGGGCUUGAAAGGAUAAUCAGGAGGAAAAUGAAUGGUAACUAAAAAUACACCUCCUGCAUAUGGGCUAUCAGAAGGGCCCAUAAUUGUUGCUUGCCAGUGGAACAUGUCUUCAGCCACAGGGCCUGUUAAAUAAUCAAACAAGCAUUGAAAGACUAUCAAAAUCACAAAUUUAGUUUAGAUUAGAUGAAUUGAUUAAAAAUAAAAAUAAAGUUACACAUUCAGAGGCGAUACGGGCACAGCAUUUUUUACCCAAUUGAUGUGGCAUAAUACACAACACUCAUUGAUAGGUGAUACUUAAUUACGCAUUAACAAUGAAAUAGUAAAAUCGACAACAGCCUCCUAUAAACUACACAUUAAAGAUGGGAUACGGCGUUGUUCCCAAUUGACAUGGCCCUCAUUGAUAGAGGCUUACUUAAUUUCACAUCAGUAUUGAAAUAAUAAAGUCAACAACAGCCUCCCAUAUGACAGCUAUUGUUCAAGAACAUGUAAAUCUUUUGUUAUCCAAUUAUAGGCUCGGGAAUUAAAUAUAAAUGCAGAUUUAGUUCAUUCAGUUUUUUAAUACAUACAAAGAAAAAGUGACCAUGAACUUCAUGCUCUCUUUGGAAAGGUUGAAAACAACCAGCAGCCAAUGAAACUACUCCAGCAUGAUAUACGUCGGUAGCCAAUCAGAAUUCAGAAUCAAUAGUAAAUAUAGAUCAAGUAAACCCUAUCACCAAAUGAUACGAAAUAUAAGUAAUCUAAAAUGUGGUUCAAAUUGAAAAGUAACAAAAAAUUAUACCAGCGCUGCAAGACGUGGGAGGAUCCUUCUGCAAAUCCUUGAGUUCCUUCAAAAUACGCUUUGAAGCCAUGACUCUUCAACGGGUUAUUAAAAUUGAAACUACAACGAACCUUAAGACCUGCGAAACUAUAAACAGAUCCAUAUACGGCUUCUUAAUUAGACUAUCCAAGCCUGUAAAACAACAAAUUAUUUGAUCUACUGCAUCGGAAAAAAAAAGUUUAAAUCAAAAUUUCGAAAAUACUAAAAAUAUAACUACGCAAAUUGACCUUGCGCGGCAGAGAACAGGAUCGGAGAGCGAUAGCGUCGAGAAAGCGAAACGGUGAAGCAGAUCUAGGUCGUCAAGCCGCCCCCGCCUCGCUCCUCUAUCAACCCCUUGCUUUGUUGUUCUUCAACACAAAUAUCGUCGAGAAAGAACGUUUCGUGUUCUUUUGCAAAUAUUUAUAUACGUGGCAAAAUUUAUUUUUCCCCAUUUUUUUGUUAUUUCUUGCAAUUUUUUAAUUUUUUUAAUUAUCGUUCUUAUCCAGUUUAUUAAUAUUGUUUGUUUUGUUAGUCUCGUUAUUUAGGGUGCUAUAACUAUUUUAUUUAUUUAUUUAUUUAUUUAUCUGGAAAGGAACUUGCGGUGCUACUACUGGCUUUGGAAUUUAUAUUCCUUGUUUUAUUUAAAGGUUACCUCGAUUACUCAAAGUUGAAGGCUCGUUGAAUCACAUGGAUUCCCAUGGUCGUGGGUACAAAAGUCAACUUAUUCGUAAAAAAGAUGUAUUUAUAUACUAUAUUUAUUUUCUUUAAAUUCAUAGUUGAUCUUGAUGCCCAACGACAAGAGUGAGAUCAAAAUAAAAUAUAAACUUUAAUUUUUUAUUUUAUUAAGGGCUGAUUUUGAAAAUUUAUAGAUUCCGUAGGAAGGGAGAUUGGAUUCCAGACGGUAAUCAAUUUCGGAUGUGAGAUACGUUUAUUCCCUCCUUAAUAAAAGUAACAUGUGUGUGUCGUAUUAAGGAUUUUAGGAAGUGAAUUGUAAAAUCAUAACACGUGAUUUUUGAUGUGUGUAGUGUGUACUACAACUCUUAAAACAUAUUAUAAGUCACUAAUCAACUCACGAAGAAUGUAUUUGAAACACAGCAUUAUAAAUACUAAAACACUGUUCAUAUUAACUUCAUACUAAUAAUAUAUUUGAUAAAAUUUUAGGAAUUAUUGUGGAACAUUAUAAUAUUAUAAUAUUAUAAAUAUAAAUUAUUUUAUUUACAUAAUUAUUUUAGUAUUAGAUAAUAAUAUAAUAAAUAAAACAUAAAAAUAUCAUAUGAUAUUAUUAUUUUAUUUAAUUAUACUCUAUUUAAUAUAAUAGUAUACAAUUAUAUUUUUAACAAUUAAUAUACACAUAAUUAAUUUAAUACAAUUAAUAGUUAAUUUAAAUAAUAUUAAGUUAGCAUUAGUAUAAAAUUAAUAUAGUAUAGUGUAACGUCAAACAUUGUAUAAGAUUAUUAUAAUAUAAUGUUAAUAUAAUACAAUAUUAUACAAUACGCCUGCAUUAAAUAAUAUAAUACAGUGUAACAUACACACCUUAUUGAUAGAAUAAUAUCUCUCAAGAGGUAUAAGGCCUUGGUAAGACAUAGGAGUCUAGAAACAGUGAGGUUUCUAUCGGCUCAAGAUAAUAUUUUAAAAUGGUAUUUGGUCUUUGAUGAGACCAAAAACUCUUAAAGGUCUCUUGAAGAGGUGAGAUUGAAAAUGACGAAAUGUCUUUACUCACACAUGAAAUUGUGGAAUCAUAAAGGAUAUAGUCAUUGAUGAUUUUUGUGUUUAGAAUUAGCUAUUGAAAUAUAGUUUGUUAUUAAAAAUAUUUUAUCUUAUGCAUCAACAAAAAUUUCAUAUUUUCUUGAUGAUGCAUCUGCAGUUUAUGUUUUAUGAAUCCUAUAAAACCUCUAUGUAGAUGGAUUUAUUUUGCUUAUAGAUUUGGAGGACUAUUAAUGAAAGCUCCCAUUCAUCAACACAUAAAGUGAUAGUAUAUGGUAUUAAUAUGCCGAUUGAACAGACUAUCAAUUUGAUACAUAUUACCAGCAGGGGGAGUACCGAGCACCCAUCAAGAAGAACUUUAUGAAUAAUCCAGACACAUUUGCACAAUGCAGUAUACUAUUUUUCCUUGAGUAUGUUUUGAUCCCUCUGGGUUUUUUAAGCACGUUACUUUAUGAUUCAUUGGAUUGUAUUUUUUUUUUUUUUUAUUUGUUGGGAGUUUCUCCCGCGGGUUUUUACUGAACAAAGUUAAAAUACAAUUAUUGCAAAGAGUAUGUAGUUAAAUACAUGAUCAAUUGAUAUGCUUCAUAGGCUGUAAAUAACCAUUACCAUUUGUAUAUAUAGUUUAAUUAUCAUACACAGAUUUUAAUUUGUAUUUAGUUAAAAAGUUUUUAAUUUUUUUAUUGAAAAAUACGUCAGUCAUUAUUACUUUAUUAGUAUAAUUCAUUAAAUAAUUCUUAAAAGUAAAAAUUGCAGAAAAUACAAUUGGCCACCUGCAGUGAUAUGCGCACAAAACACAACACAAAAGAAUAACUCACUAUCACCAAAAGAUUAAAAAAAAAUACAAAUAAAUAACAACAUGACAAUAAAUUCAGUACAAGAUUAGAAUUUUUCUCAUCUUUUGUGUUUUUUAUACUAUUUUCCAUAUAUAAAACUCCAAAAAAAAAAAAAGAACAUUCUUUUGCCGCCGAAGAGGUUUUCAGCGACCAGGCACAGCUGCCAAGGUAUUACAACAACAUCAAGCCUCAAAAUUUGCAGAAGUAGUCAGACCAUGGAAUAAAACAUAUGGUACACAAUAAAGAGAUUUCUCUAGUCAUAACCCAUAAGCAGUUCAAAUAUUAACAUUACUUCCCCUUUUGUUUUUUGCAAAUUUUAGCUAAUGAUAGAAUUCGUCAGAAGAGGAGGCAUUUGUAUGAUGUAAAAUGUUAGGUGCAAAAAUAAUGAAAGUACUUUUAGGACAAUAAACUACAUUGAAUGAUAGGAGUUUCAAACAAGAAACAUUCAACAUUAACAAAAACGUCUUGCCCUUGCAACUCCUCCCCAAACAUCCUUCCUCAUUACUAAAAUACAAAACAUCCCCUUCCCGAAGCAAGAUUGAAGAAAAAGGAGAAAAAAACACAACAUAUUUCAUAUAAAUGAGUUCCAUUUCUGCAAUAUCCAAACAACUAUCCCAUGGCAUACUUCUGUGUCCAGCUCCUGGCAGUGGCUUCAUAUUUGGCCUUGUCGGACUUGUACAUGUGAGCAAUCUCCGGUACAAGCGGGUCGUCAGGAUUUGGGUCAGUAAGCAACGAGCAGAUAGAAAGCAGGACCUGAUACACAUACGUAUAUAGUUAGAUAACUAACAAACAGUUAAUAUCUUGCCAUAAAUUCACUGCUUGAAAUAAUUUUCUUAGGUCAACUUCAAGAGUUUUCCCUCAAUUCACCACCAGCCAACACCGCUCCAGAUUCCAACUUUGGCAUACUACUUAAUAGAAUUACUGAAAGUUCUGGAGUAAACAGGAUAAAAAGCUUGCCAUGACUCGUACAGUUAAUGUCAUAUAAUUUCACCCCAAAACAAAAGCACAAUCACUAGGUGAGCAAUCGGAAAAUGGGAGUGAUGUGGGACAUAUAAGAAACUAUUACGUAGGUGUAAUCUCAUUGUGAAGGCACAUUGAACCUGGGUACAAGGGAAGAAAACUAGCAAAAUGCUUAAGAAAUAAAGAUGGACACAAUUUAUUGACGAAUUGGCGAUGUCUGUUCCUUUCCCUCAGUUAUCCCAAUGAUAAGAUAAAUAGAGCACAUAUUUACCAUCUGACUUUCUUUCAAAGAUCCCAAAGAUGGACUCGGGAGUGUAACUAUAUGAUCCCAGGGUUGAUUUUAUUUAGUUGUGCAUGAUCAUAGAGUUGCAUGCCACUACCAAACUAGAAUAAAGAGAUUCCAAACACAUAAAAUGCUACUAAUGUAAAUCUAAAAGCAGGAAACUCAAACCUUUGAAAUGGUAAGAGCUGGGCUCCACUGUUCUUUAAGGAUAUCAAGACAUAUGCUUCCAUUGCUGUUGAUGUUUGGGUGGAAGACCUUGGUCCUAAAAGCAACCUAAAUAUAAAAAAUACCAUGGGACUAAUAAGUCAAAACAAAUCAAUACAGGAUUGCUGCUGACAAGAAACCAAAUCAAACACAUGAUUUGCAUAAGAAACGAAAAUUACCUUUGGGGGCUUGAAGGGAUAAUCCGGAGGAAAAUGAAUGGUAACCAAAAAUACACCUCCUGCAUAUGGACUAUCAGGGGGGCCCAUAAUUGUUGCUUGCCAGUGGAACAUGUCUUCAGCCACCGGACCUGUUAAACAAUUAAAGAAGAUAGAAACAAUCACCAAAAAAUAACAAAUUUAGUUUAGAUGAUAUAAAGUGAUUAAAAAAAAAGAGUAAAACAACUAUAUAAAUUCGCAAUACAACAAUUGUACCCAACUGAUACACCAUACACCGUUAAAUAGUUAAACAAGCUUUGAAACAAUUACCAAAACAUACAUAUUUAGUUAACACAAAUGAUUCGGAAAAAGAUUAAAGCUGCACAUACAUGACUGGGAUACAAUGUUUGCACCCACUUGAUGUAGAAUAUGAAGUGCCACUCAUUGAGAGGUGCUAAUGACAUAUCACUAGUGAAAUAUAAUAAAGUUAACAAGUACUUUAUUGAUUGAUGACACUAUAGUUCUAUGGCUGAAGAAUACAAAAGCCUUCAGUAUCAAAUUAUAUGUUAGAGAGUGUAAUACAAUGUAUAUUUAAUUCAUUUAAAUGUUUGUUGUGGGUUGGGGGGGGUGGGGGGUGAUUUGACCAUAAAAAUCCUGAUUUCCAUUGAAAGUUUGAAAACAACAACCAGCCACCAAUACAAUUAGCCCAGCUAAGAGUUUAAGAAUACACCCACAUGGAAUAUACCGGUGGCCAAUCACAACCAAUCUUAAUAACCACGAGCCAAAUAGUGAUAGAAACAAACACAAGCAGCAAAUUUCGAUUAAUUUAAAUAUAAAUCAACUAAAAUAUGAUCCAAAUUCUCAAGUAACAAAAAUUUAUACCAGCGCUGCAAGACGUGGGAGGAUCCUUCUGCAAAUCCUUGAGUUCCUUCAAAAUACGCUUCGAAGCCAUGAUGCUUCAACGGAUUAUUAAAAGUUAAAGCUACAACAAACCUAGGAUCUGCAACACUGUGAGCUAAGCCACAUACGGC